rnacentral:lncRNA from 1 species
CAAGUUGGGGUGUGCGUCGUCUGUGUGCAACAACAUCAACGCUGGUAAGCACCUUUUGCUCAGACGGAGAAAACAAUAAUCAUUAAUUAGCGGCAGCUAGAAUCCUAUAAUCUAAUAUAUUUAUAUAUAUAUAUAAUUUUAUCAGCUCUGGGAAAUGAAGAGGCGAACGAUGCCGUUGAGAGUUGCGACCAAGCCUGCUCUAGCUUCUGCAGCGUGCAUGUUGGCAGCGCCACCGUGGUUGCUUAAGCAAAUGCAUGCAACUAGAUCGUCCUUGUGCUGAAUAAUUGGAUAUCGUAUCCACUUAAAGCUGCCUUGUGUAGUACGUCUUUGUUUGUGUCUCUCUUUAUAUUCCACUAAGGUCGGUGAUCUUGAUGCCACACACACUCAGAUGUGUGUUCAUCUCCAGAUACUACUCCAUGCUACCUGCCCUUUUUGUUUUGUUCAAUAACUGGGUAUCAUAUCCCGGCCAGUGUGCCAUCUAUUUUGUGUUUGUUUCCUUCUAGUUCCAAAGGGGUCAUCAUGAUGUUACCUUCUUUCGAUAUGGUGCUUUGCAUGACAACUGUUGUAUGGUACCAUCUUGUUGGCCAAUAAAUACAUCUUAUCCUAUGACCCUUUGCUAUGACCCUUUGCAAAUAAGUACAAGAUUGUUAUAAGCGUCAAUACUCAGUAUAAUUGAUCGCUGCUGUGAGUUCCCUUUCAGCUUAUCGUAGGCACACAUUAUUGCUAGCACGGUAAAGACAACCAACACGAAUGAUGAAGUAAACGUAGCGGUACUUUUGUAUACCAACACCCUUACUUAAAUGUACUGGUGUCAUUCCCUACUGGCACAUAUAUUCUUAUAUGCUAGCCAGAUUGGAAAAUUAACCAAUUAAAAUAAUUAUUUCAAGAUAGAAAUAACUUAUCGGCUUCUCGAAGCAUGUGUAAUUUUAAUUCAAGGACUCAAUGGAAGUUGAAUCACUUCAUCUAGAUUGCCUUCUGGAUUUUGGUUAACUAAAUUUAACAUUUGUGUCGGGGGGAAAUAUUAACGAUUUUCUUACGCUCUCUAAUUAACGGAUACAAGGGCUAGGGCCCACCCCUAAUACCCAUAAUCUCCGCUAACAACACAUCCCAGAGGCACUCCGCUCCGCCUCGCCCGACUUCAGGGUCGCAGGGUCGGACGUGCCCGACCCCCCAAGGCCUCGCCUCGUCUCAGCCGAUGGAGUUCCGCCUCGCCCGACCCUGAGCCCAACGGAUCGGACGCGCCCGACCCCUCGAAGCAGGACUCCGCCUCGCCCGACCCUGAGCGCAAGCGGUCGGACGUGUCCGGUCCCACCUGACAGAGCUCCGCCUACCCGAAGGUACGAGCAGGUCAUCAGACGGAAGCGCGGGCUCUGUGAGUCCCCCUGGGCUCACCCAACCGAUGGGACCGCGCAAGCUUCCAGAUACAGUUCUGACACAUGGAGAGGCGCCCGCGUUCCUCGACAUGACCUGUCAAAAUGUUGGUCUGCGCACUGCUGCCACGACUGCACAGGGCUACACCUGCACCGUCCUACCCCACUGUGACAUCUGUCAUAGGGCACUCAUCGCUCAUACCAUCUAAUGGAGGAGGGAAAACCGCCUAGUUUUCCACGUGGGCUAGCAAGAAGAGCACGUCAGCCACGCCGCCCCGUCAGGGUGCAUGGCUACAGUGGUUGACCAUCACCCGCGACGUGCACAGUCACAGUGGCCAGUCGUCACCACCAACUUGCACAGCUACAGUGGUCGGCCGCCAUGCACGACUCGCGUGUCCGGCUACAGUGACCGACCGCCGAGUCACCGAUGGGACCCAACGGCAACCCCUAUCCCUUAGUAGCAGUACCGACAAGACGCAGAGACAAGAAGGGAAGACGACGUCUCUAGUAGCCCCACUUGCUUCCCUUUUUACCUUUCUACCUGUUUACCUUCCUUACUCCCGGCUCAUUUGUAACCUCUGUAUCCUCCUUGCACUAUAAAAGGAGACCAGGGGGUCUGAGGGCAAGGGACCCUCGGAGACCGAACCCCGAAUUCACCCAAGUACAAACCAACCGAACCACCAGACGAGAAAGACUCACAGAGAUCUGGGAACCAGCUUCCCUCUCUCACCUAUUUGUAGCCUCUACUCCAGACUUGGUACGAGUAACACGAGCAGCCACCCGCACUGGACUCCUCCGCCAGAAACUGGUCCAACCAGUCGGGUCCCUCCCCCUGCUCUUCGUCCUCAUCAUCCUCAUCAUCGUCGUCCUCAUCCGUUGCCGUGUCUGGCCCCUCCGCAGCCUUCAGAACUCCGCUGCAGCUUUCUUUUUCUUCCUCACCGUCUCCUUGUCCUUCCUCUUCUUCUGUGCUUCGUCGAGGAGGCGGUUCCGCUGCCUCUGCACCACGUCCUCUGGCACCGGUGGACGGGAGGCUGUGACAUGGUUUAAGUUACCCUGCAGAUUCGAAGACUCCGCGUCAGAAUAGCAAACCAGGAAAUGCAGGAAAGAAGAACGAGAGUGCAAAUUUCUAACCAGCAGGACAUAGGCCUCGUCCGGGCGCAUCGGAGGGUGCCCCGGCACCGGGAACACGACAUCCCUGUCACCCAAUGCAUCCCGGACACGCUGCUCGAUCUCGGCGUCGGCAAUUGCACCCGUCGCAAGGACGGUGCUGUGGUACGCCCCAACAACUCCGGCCCCGGUCAGGCCCUCCUCCUUCAGAAGGUUGAUGGCUUCGAGGAGACCCCGGAUAUUCUUCUUCUCCUUCUCAACAGGGCCAUAUGUCCACGUUCCCGGUGCCUCCACGAUGACGCGGCCAGUGAACUCCGUCAAGAGGACAUCGGGGCGGUUCUUCACAUAGAGCCACUGCUGAUGCCACCCUUUGUGGGAUGACGGGGUCUUCAUCGAUGUAUACUCCUUGGGCCGAUGGCCACAGAGGUGGAUGCCGGCACACCCCAUCAGCAUCGGAAUCGUCCGCGUCUGGUUUCCUCUCUUCUCGGUCCUCUGAUGAAGAGUGACAGCGAAGAAGUACUUCCACAGGGCGAAGUUGGGCUCGAUCCCCAGGUAUCCCUCCCAAAGCACGACGAACGCCGCGAUGUGCUGGAUUCCGUUGGGGUUGAGGUGCUCCAGCUCAAUGCUAUAGUAGUGCAGCAGCCCCCGGAAGAAGCGACUUGGGGGAACCGCGAACCCCCUCUCGUGGAAGUGCGCGAAGGAGACGAUGUACCCGUCCUCCGGCUGUAGCACGGCCUUGUUCCCGGGAUACCGCCACUCGUUCUCGGCGAUCCUAUCGCGAAGAAGGCCCUUCUUCACGAGACCGAUCACGCGCGCGGUGUUGAAGAUUGACCAAGACCUUGAAUCCAUCGCCGAGGAAGGGGAAGGCUCGACGGCGGUGGUGGAAAGGUGAAUGCUCUGGCUCGAAAGAGGAUGAAAAGUGAACAAGGAGGCGAGAAAGGCUGAAGACGAGUGCGGAGCGGAGCAAGCAAGGUAAGCUCUCUCGUUUUACAGGGGGCGUGCGAGAAACGAAAGGCGAACCGAACGCAUUUAUUGCGACGUCAGGUAUGCCCCAUCGCCUCCGCCUUUCUUCGGAAACCGUACGCAUGAUUUCUUUUUAACCGCAGGGAACGCUACGCCCCCUCGCCCCACGAGCCCGGUGUUUUUUGCCGCUUCGUCUCCUGGAGGUCAUGCGCACAACUUCCUCCACAAGCGGCCCAGGGCCCGCUUCAGGUAAAAAAGGGAUACAGAGCUGAAAACACUCUAACGGCCCAUUACGGUCCAGGGGUUCGAAGGCUGGCCCUCUAGAGGGUUCGACAUCCACCCCAGGACAUUUCUUGAGCAAGGGGUGAGAAGGGACGGGUCCGCUAGCGACCACUACCCUGGUGAACAAAAGCCAAGGGCGUCCCGACCUCACAUUUGAGUCUCGAUUGGCGUUUAAGUUCAUGGUUUUUCCCCGAAGAAAGGCAAAGUGCCCCCGGAUCCGGUUGAACAGACCUGGGAACUAUAUGAACUGGCCGUCCGAAAUCUGGAGUACGCCACCAGCUUGGCCCAAGCCGGACCCGCCCGAACAGGGACCGGGACUCCACUCGAACUGACCCGUUAGCAGCUCACCGAGCACCAUGGUUCGUCCGAUGAGGAUAACAUGGCACGGCUCACCCCCUCCGUCCCAACGAACGGACGCUGAGGGGUAACGACUAAAAGACGAUCCGACCUCUCGAUCGGUCCCCUGCAAUGCGCGGGGGCUCGAGGGCUGGAAUCACAACGAAACGACCAUGCGCAUGGUUACGACUCGGAAUUUUGAGGCAGGAAUGGUCAUUGAAACAAUAGGGAAUCUUCCCAAACCGUACCAUCCUCAGAACACUCUGGCUACCCAAAACUCCCCGGCCAGGCCAAACAAGCAAAACUUUUCUCCUGAUCAAAUCAAGGUACAUGUUAAACAAGACCCCUGACAAACACUCUGCCGAGAGCCAAUCACAGCCUCUGGAGGAGCACCUUGCUCCACCAAAGGCUCGGGGCCUACUGUCAGGGGGAAAUAUUAACAAUUUUCUUACGCUCCCUAAUUAAUGGACACAAGGGCCAAGGCCCACCCCUGACACCCGUAAUCUCCACCAACAACACAUCCCAGAGGCACUCCGCUCCGCCUCGCCCGACUACAGGGUCACAGGGUCGGACACGCCCGACCCCCCGAGGUCUCGCCUCAUCUCAGCUGAUGGAGUUCCGCCUCACCCGACCCCAGGCGUAAGGGGUUGGACGCGCCCAACCCCUCAAAGCAGGACUCCGCCUCGCCCGACCCCGAGCGCAAGGGGUUGGACACAUCGGAUCCCACUAGACAGAGCUCCGCCUCGCCCGAAGGUAUGAGUAGGUCAUCAGACGGAAGCGCGGGCUUUAUGAGUCCCCCCAGGCUCACCUAACCGAUGGGACGCGCACAAUUCUAGAUACAGUUCUGACACGUGGAGAGGUGCCCGCGUUCCUCGACAUGACCUGUCGGAAUGUUGGUCUGCACACUACUGCCACGACUGCACAGGGCUACAACUGCACCGUCCUACCCCACUGUGACAUCUAUCAUAGGGCACUUAUCGCCCAUGCCGUCUAACGGAGGAGGGCAAACCGCUUGGUUUUCCGCGCAGCCUAGCAACUACAGCACGUCAGCCACGCUGCCCCGUCAGGAUGCAUGGCUACAGUGGUUGACCGUCGUCCGCGACGUGCACAGCUACAAUGGCCAGUCGUCACCACCAACUUGCACAGCUACAGUGGUCGGCCGCCAUGCACGACCCGCGUGUCCGGCUACAGUGGCCGACUGCCGAGUCACCAAUGGGAUCCAACGGCAACCCCCAUCCCUCAGUAGCAGUACCGACAAGACGCAAAGACAAUAAGGGAAGACGGUGUCUCCAGUAGCCCUACUUGCUUCGCUUUUUACCUUUCUACCUUUUUACCUUCCUUACUCCUGGCUCAUUUGUAACCCCUGUGUCCUCCUUGCACUAUAAAAGGAGACCAGGGGGCCCGAGGGCAGGGGACCCCCGGAGACCGAACCCCGAAUUCACCCAAGUACGAACCAACCGGACCACCAGACGAGAAACACUCACAAAGAUCUGGGAACCAGCUUCCCUCUCUUGCCUGUUUGUAGCCCCUACUAUAGACUUGGUACGAGUAACACGAGCAGCCACCCGCACUGGACGUAGGGCUAUUCCUGCCCGAACCAGUAUAAACCUCGCGCCCUCUCGUACAACCAUCCAAGCCUUACGCGUAGAGAAACAAAUUUACUAAGCCGGUAGUCUUGACCCGUGAUUCGUGAGACCGACAAUUUGCACAUACAAAUGUUAAAGUACAAAUGUUAAAUCUAGUUACCAAGCAGAAUACGAAAUAGCGGGCUAUAGUGAGGCUAUAGCGGCGCUAACUGCUGCAACAACAGUGUUGUACUAAUUAGCAGGCUAUAGCGGAGCUAUAGCGGUUGAGCACAGCUCUACGCUAAAUAUCAUAGCCCUCAAUUUUGUACAUUGUAUAUACUAUAUAAAUCUAGUUAACAUUUAGUCUAAAUGUUAAAUCGAGUUACCUAAAAUCCUGAAAGCAAAAUGUAUAAAUAUAUAUCUUUUAGGGUAGUAUAAGCUUCGAUUCCUUUUGCUGCUCUGUUAAAUCUCAUCUUUCGUUGUAGCCCAACACUCUAGUAUUGAUUUUGCACCAAGCUUCUUUGAGCCGCUCUGCCCUCUGAUUUUGCUGCGUAGGGGAAUCUUUAUCAGGUUGGGCUACUUCCAGUCGUGCGAUGUAUACCUUUGUAUCUUCUAGAAGGUAGACAGAAAACCCGCGUUCUCUUAAGGCAACAACCAGAAGAUUCUGCAGCGCACGGGGCAUAUCAUUGUUGUAGAAACGACCUUUAGUAUCGAUCUCCAACCCCUUAUAGUACUGGUUUUGCAACCAGUACCGUUAUGUCGGACCUUUAGUACCAGAUCAAAUAACCGGUUCUAAAGGGACUCCUUUAGUACCGGUUGGUAACCAGUAUCAACUUGUUUUGCGGCCAAAAAAAUAAAGAAAAAAAUAGCCAGAAGGCUAGCACACACACACAUCCCACGAAAUAUGCGCGUGCGCGGUCCAUGGGAUUCGAACCCAUGAAAUCAAGCUGCGCGCAACCCUUCGUUACCAUCUCACCUUCAGUACCGGGUCAUAACACCACCCGGUACUAGUAUCGGAUGCUGUAAUGACUCGAUACUAAAAGGCCUCUAGGGACCCUCAAAUUUGGACCCGAUACUAAUGCUAACAUUAGUACCGGGUCAAAGUGCAGCCAGUACUAAAGCAUGGGACGAAAGGUCAUAUUUCUAGUAGUGUAUAGUUGUUGUGUAGGACUGACUUGGCUGUCCUCUCUCUUCUCCAUCCCAUUGGUCUUACGCCGCCGCUCGCACGCGAGCCGGCACCCAACCAGAGGAGUGAGAGCUAGGGGCGGGUUGGGAGGUGGGGGUAGCGACUGGUGGCUAGGGUGAUGGUUGAUGUUGGCGGGGUUAGGGUUUCAUGGUUUUCAAGCUACCUACGGCCGGCGAACCUAGAGGAGGAGGUCGACAUCAGCUGCAACCCGCGGUGGUGGUGGUUUGGCCGGCGCCCCAGGCGAGGCAGCGUGGGAGUGCUGCUGGCGGGUUGGUGUUGGCGCUCAUUAUUGACACAUUUUUAGUACUAUUUUGUUCAUGGAAUAACACUCAAACGUGCUGGUGCUGCUGCCGCCAUCGCCGCCCUAGCCAUAAUAUAAAGGCAAAAUUUGCUAGAGGACAUGCAAAAUGAUGCUAGUUUGCUGGAGGGCACCGUUGACCAUGUAAUAUGCUACAAGACACUCUAGUUGUUCUAGAGUGUAUCAAUUUGCUGAAAGACAUUGCUACGACUAAAAUAAUGUUUCUGGACUGAGUUGGAGAGAGAGAUGGAGUGAAAUGUCUGUUUUGCCCAUGACCCCACUGAUCAGAUCCUUCUUCUUCCACCCUCCUUUCUUCUUUCUUCAACCAUUACCCAGCUCUAGUGUGUUGCAGAUCUACGAGGGUGGCGGCCCGGGGCGAGGGGCAUCGCUUGCCCUCAGACGAGCGCCGCGAGCGACGGCGCGGGGGCAGCAACGGCGCGUCGGAACCUGACCGUUCGUUAGCUCCUCUCGCUGCUGGGGAAGGAGGGGGAGGGGCCAUGGACGGGGUUCCCUCGAAAACCUUAGCCUCGAGCUCAGGCGGCUACGCGCAGGCAGCACUAGGCUCUUCGCGGGGAGGGGGCGCGGCCAAUCAUUGGCACCCCACUGGUCCAAUGCUGAUGAAGAUGGUGCCAGCGUCGUGAAGAUGGUGCCAGCGUCGUGUGAGGACCUCUCAUCUCCUCGAGUUCCAUGGCCAGCACAGGUGAGCGUCCGCUACCACAAAACAGAGGUGUCGUGAGAGUCAAAAAAACUCAUGAAAAUAGCUAAAACCAUCAUGAAAAUAAUCCAUGACACGACACUCUAACGAAAAUCCUCUCACAAAUAUGGUGCCAUCAAAAUACCAUUUUCAUGAGAGUGAACUGUCAUGAUUUUAUUUCGUGAGAGUAUUUCCUAUCAAUGACCUCCACGAAAUACUUUGUGCCACCAGGUCUUCAAGAUCAUUUUCAUGAGAGCCGAACGUCACGAAAGGUCCGCCACAAAUGUUUUUCCUGGGAGCCUCUAACUCUCAUCAAAAGCAUGUGGGCCGCCGCGAAAAACAGCCUGACCAAAUGACAAUUUUCAUUUUCAUGUGCUCUUACCGCCAUGAAAAUGGUCAUUUUCAUGAGAGUUGAUGAAACAAAAAAAUAGUGCCAUUUUCAUGAGAGUUCAAGCAACCAGGAAAAGGCACUAAUAAACAUCCAGAUCCCAUCCAGCACACAUCCAUGCACAUAUAUAACCCACAUAUUGCUCCAGCAACAUCCAUGCAUAUACAAGAUCCAAAUGUCUUGGUAUGAACCUACAUGCAUGUGAUGAACCAGUAACCUGCAAAAAGAGCUCAUAGGAUCUUGUCCUCAUAUUGUAGCUGUGAAAUUCUUGCAAGUAGUGUUGCAAUCAGUUCACUUUGAACCAAAAGAGCUCAAAGGAUCAUGUCCUCAAAGUUCCUCUUAAAGCUUAUGGGUUUGCUGGUGGAACUGGAAGGGCUUGAUGCAGCAUGCCAUUCUGCAAUAGAGAAAAAUUUAGAAAGCUGUACUAGUUAAAAUUGGAUGCAGCAGAGACACAUGAAACUAGUAUUUAUACAAUUCUAUAUAUAUAAUAAUUUGUCCCCUAAAUUUUUAGGAUCCUCUCGACGGUGGUGAGUCUUCCAGUAAGGCAAUUGAAUGUCCAUCGUGAUAAAAUUCUCCUUUGGAUUUAUCAUCUUCUCAACCAGAAAUCCUAGGAGUUCAUCCUUAAGCCUUACCAGUUGUAAUUUGGAAAUAUGUGAAAGUUAAACGAACAAUUAAAAUCUAAGGAUCCUUAUCAUCAUUUCCAUACGUUUGCGAAUUAAAAUAAUGAAGGAUACAAUGUUAGGUGAAAAUUCAAGAAACAAAAUUUUGUAUAGAGAUAAUGGUCCGACAUUAUUACAAGUUAAAGUUGUUUUAAAUAUCCUUGUAAUCUUCCUUUGGUUUCCUCGACGAUUCCAAGACAGUAACCUUGCUUCUAUCAAUGAUAAUUAUAAGGAGAACCCAAUGAAAACUGUGUAUUCAUAUUAGAACUAACUAAGGUUAAUUCGGAUAGGAAAGGAAAUCAAAAAUAGAUGGUACCCACACUUACUUAAAGUUGUAGGGUAGUAGUAUGUAAUGCUUGUAAUUCUGUUGCUCCAAGAAUUUGUAUAUGUGGUUCAAUGUAGACUUUGGUUGAUCCUGUAUCUGCUGUUGGUUGAAUAAGUGUUUCUAACCAUUUCUAGCCGUUAGAACUGGGACUAAAGGGAGCUCUUAGUGCUGGUUGAUAUUACUAGUCGGGACUAAAGAGCCCCCGUUAGAGUUGGUUUUCGGACGUGGAACUAACCACUCCUUUAGUCUCAAGUCCAAAAAUGAUUGAGACAUUUGUUGCUGGAUGGAACACUAGUAGAGAAUUGGCUUUCGAUGCGCCCCCUUUUGUCCCGGUUUAAAGUUGGACUGGGACAAAAGAGGGUGCGCCACGGUAGGUAAAAAUGGAGGGGGGAGUUAGUCCCGGUUGGUAAUUGCAACCGGGACUAGAGGCCCCCCUUUAGUCCCGGUUGCAAUGGCUAGCUGGGGGGCGUCGGUGGCGGCACCUUUUUGUCCCGGUUGGAGUCUCCAACCGGGAUAAAAGGUCCACCCUUUUAUCCCGGUUGGAGGCUCCAACCGGGACAAAAAGUUUAGUCCCGGUUGGAGCUUCCAACCGGGAUAAAAGGGUGUCCCUUUUGUCCUAGUUGGAGCCUCCAACCGGGACUAAACUUUCAACCGGGACAAAAGGUGUGGUUGGAGUUUUUAACUGGGAUAAAAACUCAUCCCCCAUUAUAUACCAAGACAGAGGACUUUCUUCCUCCUCCAGCCCGAGCCAGUCCAGCACAUUCACAGAGAGUUGACCUUCACCUACUCUCCGGUGGUGCCGAAGCAAGGAGGUGCUGCCCGAAGUUUUUUCCCUCAUUUUCGUGGGAAUUUCACUCAGCUAACACAAGUGUUGUGAAGGUUUGCUACUUCAUCCUCGUUUAUGCUUUGAUUUAUGCUUUGGAGAUGGAAAGAUUAUUUGUUAGAAUGUGAUGAAGUAGAAAAUGGAGAGAAUAUUUUGAGCUAGAAUGUGAGGGAGAUUGAUGUGUCAUAUAUAGUAUGCAUUCUUGCAGUGGUUUAAGAAUGAUGCUACCUUGUCCAGACAAUUUAUCUUAUCAAAUUCAAUAUAGUUUUUCAAAUCCAUACUUGUUGAACUUGCAUACCGUGUUCAUCUCUACGAGGAUAUUCUCUGCCGAGCAGCAACGUAUGUCAAGAAGGAGGUUCGAUUCUACGAGGAAGAGUGGAUACGGACAUCGUGACCGUGUCCCCUUUUCCGUAGCAUCUAACCUCUUUCAUGAUGAAGUGCGGUGCCGCCCAGUUGAGAACAUGCUCGCGAGAUGAACACAGUAUGCAAGUUCAACAACUUCUGCAGUAGUAAGGAAAGAAUUUUUGUACAUAGAUGACUUCUGCUACUUGUUGAACUUAUCAAAUUCAAGAAGGUUUUUCAAAUCCAUACUUGUUGAACUUGCAUACCGUGGUCAUCUCGCAGAGGAUGUUCUCCGCCGAGCAGCAACGUAUGUCAAGAAGGAGGUUCGAUUCUACGAGGAAGAGUGGAUACAGACAUCGUGACCGUGUCCCCUUUUCCGUAGAAUCGAACCUCUUUCAUGACGAAGUGCGGUGCCGCCCAGUUGAGGACAUGCUCGCGAGAUGAUCACGGUCUUUAAGUUUAACAACUUAUGCAGUGUUAAGGUAAUAAUUUUUGUACAUAGAUGGCUUCUGCUACUGGAGAAAGUGGCGAUGGUGGGGGUGAUCGUGGUUCCUCUUUCGGCAAGGGGAAAAUCAUAGUUGGCCCUCAGCAUAAGCCAAAGAAAAAGAGCGCACUGGAAAAAGCAAUGCUUCGUUAUUUGCAGCAACGUCAUGAAGAAGUUGUUGCCGCGGGUCAGGAACCUCCUUUUGGUCGUCGUUAUGCUCCACCCUUAGUCCCGGGUGUUUCACAUCCACUUAGUACUACCGUUUCAGGCGGCACAAAUAAACCUAAGGAUGAGGCUAGGUCAGCGGAACUUUCGUCUUCACUGUCCAAGGAUGCUUAAAGUCCUCCUAGAUAAUAACCAGUGGAUGGCUUGUUGUAUUGUAUCAUGUUGUUUGGAUCUUUAAUUUAAAUAUGUGUAUUUGGAUCUUCAUGUUGUUGUAUUGUACCAUGUUGUUUGGAUCUUUAAUCAAUUUUCACACGUAAUCCAUUGUCAAGUGUAAUCCAUUUUCAUGCAUAAUAAGAUGCAGAUGGACCGGCAAUGGAUGUAUAAUGCAGACAGGCAGAGCAAGGUGUUUAUUGAUGGCUUGCAUUAUUGUCUCGAAGUGGCCAAAGCGAACAAGCCAGAGAAUGGGUUCGUAUGUUGUCCAUGCUUCCAAUGCAAUAACAAGAAGGAGUAUUCAUAGGAUUCCUGGGGGACUAUUCACAGCCACUUGUUUAAAUACGGUUUCAUACUUAACUAUUUGGUUUGGACCAAGCACGGUGAACGAGGGGUCGUAAUGGAAGAUGGCGAGAAGGAGGAGGAAGAUGACACCAUUCCAGACUGGGUUGUAGGCCAAGCUUUUGCAGGUACUACAAUGGGCGAGGCUCAUGAAGAUGAGUUUGCAGAAAAUGGCCCUAUUGAUGACUUUGGUCAGGUGAUACGAGAUGCAUACAGAGAUUGCGAAAUUGAGAAGGAAGCAGCAAAGUUGCAGCGCAUGAUAGAUGAUCACCAAAAAUUAUUGUACCCAGGUUGCCAGCUGGGCCAUAAAAAACUAGGUACGACACUAGAAUUUGUGCAAUGGAAGGCAAAAAAUGGUGUGUCCGAUAAGGCAUUUCAGGGGAUGUUGACCAUUGUCAAGAAGAUUCUUCCCGAGAAUAAUGAAUUACCGUCCACAACAUAUGAAGCUAAACAGAUUAUUUGCCCUCUCGGAUUGGAUGUUCAGAAGAUACACGCAUGCCCUAAUGACUGUAUCCUCUAUCGUGGUGAUGACUACGAGAAAUUGGAUGCUUGUCCCGUGUGCGAAGCCCUGCGGUAUAAGAUUAGGUGAGAUGAUCCUUGUGAUGUCGAGGGGCAGUCUCCCAAUAAGAGAGUUCCCGUGAAGGUGAUGUGGUAUUUCCCUAUAAUACCACGCUUGAAGCGCUUGUUCAGGAAAAAGGCGAAUGCUAAGUUGAUGUGAUGGCACAAAGAAGACCGUAAGGAAGAUGAGAUGCUGAGACACCCCGCAGAUGGGGCACAGUGGAGAUCAAUUGAUAGAGCAUUCUCGGACUUUGAAAGUGAAGCAAGGACAUAAGGUUUGGUUUAAGUACUGAUGGAUUCAAUCCAUUCGGUGAGUUGAGUAGUGGCCAUAGUACUUGGCCUAUGACCCUAUUUAUGUUGAACCUUCCUCCUUGGCUAUGCAUGAAGUGGAAGUUCAUUAUGAUGCCGGCGCUUAUCCAAAGUUCAAAACAACCCGACAACGACAUUGACGUGUACCUAAGACUGUUGGUUGAUGACCUUUUACAGCUCUGGAAGGAAGAAGGUGUACGUGUGUGGGAUGAGGAUAGACAAGAGAUCUUUAAUCUACGAGUAUUGUUGUUUGUAACCAUCAAUGAUUGGCCUGCACUGAGUAACCUUUCGGGACAGACAAAUAAGGGAUAUCGGGCAUGCACCCACUGUUUAGACGACACAGACAGCAUGUAUUUGAAGCAUUGUAAGAAGGUCGUCUACAUGGGUCAUCGUCGAUUUCUCCCUGCUCACCACCAGCUGAGAAAGAGCAGGAUGCAUUUCAAAGGGGCGCCAGACCAUCGUAAAAAACCUGCACACCAUAAUGGAAAGUGUGUCUUCAAGAUGAUGAAGGAUGUAAAUGUAGUCUUUGGAAAGGGUCUUGGUAGCCAACCUAUUCCAAACGACAAUAACGGACAUGCACCCAUGUGGAAGAAAAAGUCAAUAUUUUGGGAGCUACCUUAUUGGGAAAUCCUAGAGGUUCGCAAUGCAAUAGACGUGAUGCACCUGACGAAGAAUAUUUGCAUGAACGUGCUAGGCUUCAUGGGUUUUUAUGGGACCUCAAAAGACACAUUGGAAGCACGACAGGACCUGAAAGCCAUGGGGCAACGAGAUGACCUACAUCCGAAAAAGAGAGAUAAUGGAUAGCACUACUUACGUCCUGCCAGUUACACUCUGAGCAAGGAAGAGAAGGAUAGCAUGUUUGAAUGCUUGAAUAGUAUGAAGGUCCCGUCUAGGUACUCCUCGAAUAUAAAGGGAAUAAUAAAUAUGAAAAAAAAGAAGUUUAUAAAUCUCAAGGCCCAUGACUGUCACAUGUUGAUGACCCAGUUGCUUCCGGUUGCACUGAGGGGUGUUCUACUAGAAAAUAUCCAGUUGCCGCUCGUAAAGCUAUGUGCGUUUCUAAAUGCGAUUUCACAGAAGGCAAUCGAUCCAUCCAAGCUAUCAAAGCUACAGAACGAUGUGGUGCAAUGUCUUGUCAGUUUUGAGUUGUUAUUUCCACCAUCCUUCUUCAAUAUUAUGACGCACUUACUGGUUGACCUAGUAAAAGAGAUUGGUAUUCUCGGACUUGUAUACCUGCACAAUAUGUGGCCUUUCAAGUGUUCAUGGCAGUCCUAAAAAACUAUGCUCUUAAUCGUGCCCAUCCAGAAGGAAGCAUCGCCAAGGGAUAUGGAACAGAGGAGGUGAUCGAGUUUUGUGUUGAUUUUAUUGAUUCAAUUGACUCGAUUGGGGUUCCAACUUCACGCCAUGAGGGGAGGCUCCGAGGAAUGGGCACCCUUGGAAGGAAAUCAAGUUUGAGCAAUGAUACUGAUUUGUUCGACAAGGCACACUACACGGUUCUACAACAGUCAUCCUUUGUGUCUCCAUAUAUUGAGCAGCACAGGCAGAUGGUAGUUUCCAAAAACCCGACCAAAUCCGAUGCUUGGCUUACCCGUCUUCACAUGGAAACUUUUCCCUCCUGGUUGCGCCAACAACUUAUGGGUAACUCUGAGAUUCACCCACAGCUUGCCUGGUUAGCCAGGGGACCUGCUAGCACAAUUGUGAAAUUUCAAGGCUAUGAGAUAAAUGGUUAUACAUUUUACACGAGAGCCCAGGACCAGAAAAGCACGAAACCAGAAUAGUGGUGUCCGCAUACAUGCCAUGGACAGAAAUAAUAGCAAGGAGUCGUAUUAUGGUUUCAUAUAGGAGAUAUGGGAACUUGAAUACGGACCGUUGUACAUCCCUCUAUUUCUUUGUAAUUGGGUGAAGCAAACUGCCGUAACCAAAGAUCAGUACGGAAUGACAAUAGUAGAUCUGAGCAAGACUGGAUACAGUGAUGACCCAUUCGUACUUGCCAACAAUGUGCAACAGGUGUUCUAUGUGAAGGACAUGUGUAGCAAACCCAAGAGAAAUCCAGAAGAGACAUGGGAGCCAAAGUGCCACAUAGUUUUUCCAGGUAGAAGAAAAAUCGUGGGAGUCGAGGAUAAAACAAACCAAUCAGAUGAUUAUGAUUAGUUUGAUGGCAUGCCUCCAUUCGCCGUUGAAGUUGAUCCAAGCAUCCUGCUAUCCAAAGAAGAGGCUCCGUACUUACGCCGCGAUCAUGAUCAAGGAACUUUCGUGAAGAAGAAAUUCUACAACGUUGUAUUGUAAUGCGCUAAAUUUACAUGACCUUUGUGUAGUAAUUGAUACAAUUUUUAAUUUACCCUAUGUAUGAUUUGAUGUGUUCUUAAAUUUGUUAGGUGAAGAUUUAUUAGAUAAACAUGAACAAUGUUAACCACAUACAUACAUGGAUUUUUCUGCGCAUUGAAAUUAUUUAAUGGAAUAAUUUCUUGAUCACAGCGAUGUAGUAAAAUAAAUAUUUUAGAGCCUAAAUGAACUGGUAUAGAAUUAAUGACUAACUCACACUUAUUGUCAAUUUACUCGCUAAUUAAAUAUAUUUUUGCAUGUACAAAAUAUGUGAAGGUUUUUGUUUUUCAUCCUGAAUUGCAGUGAAAAGAUAAAUAAAAUCCAUUUCCAAAAAACAGGCGGGAGAAGAAAACUGGGAAAAGGACCUUUUGUCCCGGGUGCCAACAGAAACCGGGACAAAAAGCCCCCCCCCUUUUAUCCCGGUUGGUGGUGGCACCCGAGAUAAAAGGGUAGGCUCCAAGCCCCACUUGGCGGACGCACCCUUUUGUCCCGGGUCCCGUCACCAACCGGGAUAAAAGGGGGGGCCUUUUAUCCCGGUUGGUGAGGGGACCCAGGACAAAAGGCCCUUUAGUCCCGGGUGUCAUUACGAACCGGGAUAAAAGGGGGGUUAAAAGGCACUAUAGCCCCUUCUACCCCCCACGCCAGUUACAGUUAGCAAAAUUUUCACCAAGAUCCCGCGCGCACUCUGCUCCGUCGCUGCCCGUCCGCCUUCCUCGCCAGCCGUCAUCGUCGUCGUCCCCCAUUGCCCCGGCCGUCGUCGUCCCGCCGGCUGACCGUGCCCAGAUAGCCUCCUCCUCCAUCGCCCCGGCCCGCCUCGAUCCUCCUGCGUCGUGCCCGGCCCCUACCUCAUCGACGCCGGCCACCUCCAUCGCGGGGCCUCAUCGCCGCCUCCAUCCUCGUCGCCACCUCGACGCCCUGGGUCGCCGCCUCGUCGCCCCUCGUCGCUGCCUCGUCGCCGUCCUGCCUCCGCCGUCUCGCCGUCCCGCGCGCCUUCGCUCCGUCGUCGCCUCCGCCGUCCCACCGCCCCAGCCACCGCCAUCCCGCCACCCCGGCCACCUCGUCGCCCCGACCACCGUCGACCGCGCGUGAGGUCCGCCGCACCGGCACUGGCGCCGGGAGUACCGCCUUGCUGACGCAAGCCCACCGGCUUGCGUCAACAAGGGCCUUUUUUAAGUUAGAAAAUAAAUAGAAAGGAGUAGUAAUUAGGUAGAAAUUCAAUAGAUUUUUGUAUAUGUGUUACAAAAUCAAAUUAGUGUAAAUUAGUUGUAAUUAGGUUCGUCGCUCUGCCUAGGUUAGAAAUGAAUCGUGUUUCGUCGUGGUUCCGUCCCCGCCUCCGCCGUCCCGCCACCCUGACCGUCGCCGUCCCAACCUAGGCACCGUCUGUGGUUCCGUCCCCGCCUCCGCCGUUCCGCCUCCAUCGCAAAUUCAUGUUAUUGCUAGAAAUUCCAAUAAAUAUGAACAAAUUAGUAGAAAUUUGGUAGAAAUUAAUCAUUGCUGCGGCCACCUCGCUCCACAAAUUCAUGUUAUUGCUAGAAAUUCAUAAAAAUUCAUGUUAUCACUAGAAAUUCGUACAAAAUUCAUGUUAUUGCUAGAAAUUCGUAAAAAUUCAUGUUAUUGCUAGAAAUUCGUACAAAAUUCAUGUUAUUGCUAGAAAUUCGUACAAAUUCAUGUUAUUGCUAGAAAUUCGUCACAAAGUACUACUAAUUUGCAAAAAUUUGUAUAAAUAUUCCGGACUUUGUGGGAUUCAUGUUAUUUUCUGAUUUCAUGUAUAUACCCUUAUGUACAUAUAACUAAGGAGAUUUCUAUGACUUUCAUGUAUGUUUCAAUCAAUAGUUGAAAUGGCAGACGAUGAGACCGCAAGGUAUCUCAUGGAGCAGAUAAUCGCUGGUGAUGGUAGUGGCGACAACCUUCCACUAUCGUACACCGAUGAAGAGGGCACCCAGGCGGACAUGUUCCUCAACAUGUCCGCCGAUGGGAAUGAAGAGCAAAAGCCCCAGCAACACCUUGCCGGGGCGGAAGGUUCCGGCGAGGUAUAUAUAACGAUUCUUGUAUUGUUUCACACCACCGUUACUACUACGUACUAAUUAACGAAUCAUGAACCGUUAGCCCUCUGGAUCGACGCAAGGGCAGAAGACACGAGGUCGUACAAAGGUGAUGGAAGGGAGGCUUGUCAUCACGGAAGUGAUAGAAGAGGGCAGGCCGGUUGCUCCCGAGAAAGUAGCAAAGAAGUACGUGAGUCAGAUCGGGGCAAUCGUCCGGGACAACGUGCCUAUCAGCAUCAGAGAAUGGAAGGGCAGAAGCACUAAUCCGUACGCCCUCCUGGAGACAGAAAGAAUAUGCUGUGGGAAGAUGUCAAGAGACAUUUCACAUUCACCGAAGGAUAUAUUGAGAAGGAUGUGAAAGCGUGGACGCUUAAGAAGAUGGCUACACAAUUUCCAGACAUUUAAGAAGAUGCUAGAUACCCACUACAUUAAGAAGGGCCGAACUCCAGACUUCAACGCGUGGUCAAAGUUGAGGGACCACUAGGAUGCAUUUGUUGAAUAUAAGAGGAGUGAAUACGAUGUGAAAAAGAUCACGACCAACACAACAAAUGCUAGUCAGAAGGGCUACCAUCAUCAUCUGGGGCGAGAUGGUUAUGGCUCAGCAAUUCCCAAGUCGAGGAAGAUGGAACAAGAUCUGAUUGAACGGGGAAUCGUACCGGCAACUAUUGAAUGGCCCGAACGAUCAAAAAAUUGGUACUACGCUCAUGGAGGCUCCCUGUGCCAAGAGGAUGGGACGUUGAUUUUCAAUAACACAAUACGUUAGAAGGCCAAACAUCUUGUGAAGAACAUUGAAGAUUCUAAGGCUGGGAGGUUGAAGGUGGACCGAGAAAAUGAUGAGCUCACAUUGGCCCUUGGUAAUCCAGAGCACCCAGGAUGUUGCCGAGGGUUCGGGGUCGUUCCGUGGAAGUUUGUUUUCCGAGGCGACAGCGCCUCGUACAGAAGCCGGAAGCGAAGAAAGGAACAGAUCGAGGAGAGCUGGUGGCAGAUGCUAGAAUCCAAAGUGCAGGCACAAGAACAAAGAAUGAUGGAGGAAAUCAAUCGUCGAGUGGCCCACGCAGUUGUGGAGUUGGCCCAAUCUGGAGCAUUGCCGAAUCCUAACAACGCCAGCCCUUCUCAAUGCCUCUUGAGCAGUUAUGCUUCUACAGGGGUCCCCGAUGCGCACACGCCCAGGUUACCCGUGGAGGAGCAACGGUUCCCCGUGGAUGCCAUCACGCAACACACCACAUGUGAGCUGCAUGCACCGGUCGGCAACCUCACUAUUAAGGUAUACUUAUACAUAAUAUUUAUGCAAUCUUGUCAAUUGAUCCACGCCUCGAUAUCGGAGUUUAACUUGUUUACUUCUACUAUAUGUACAGGUAGCGUACGGGAGUGCGUUAGCAACCCUGGCGGGGCAGAGCAGUCAUGGCAUGAAGAUUCCACCUGGCUACGCUAGCGUCCGCGUAGAGCAAAUAGUUGAUAGCCAAUAUGAAGGUCUAGAGCUCGACCUCCCGGGAGGUGACAGGGAAAGAACACUGGCAGAUGCGCUUCAUGGGAUCAUUCUAUGGCGAAAACGCUACAUCAUUAUUCCCGGCACGGAGCCAUCUCCUCAGAGCUCAAGACCACUCCCCGUAGAUCCCCAGCAGCGACCUUCUCCUCAUAGCUCGAGACCGUCAUCUCCUGCACAACCUGCUCCAGGACCGUCCCUUCCAUCUAUAUCAAGGUCUCCAUCUCCACCACAUCCUGGUGGUGGGAGCGACGACGACAAUAACAACACCCCUUCCUGAUCACCAUCGCCGGCACCAAGAGCGGCCCCCAUGAAGGAACCUGCACCACCACUAAAAAAGUCACGAGCACCGCCUCCCAAGCAAAGACAGAGAAAGAAGAAAACAAAGGAGCCUGAAGUGACUCGUAAGGAACGCUGGGAGACAAUGUCUCAUGCGGAACAGUGGGCAGAAAUCCAACAAGAGGCCAGUGAGUGGUUCAAGAAACAAGCCGAAGAAAAAAAAGCAACGGAGAUGCAGCCACCGCCAGUAAAUCGAAGAGAUUUAAACUUUUUUAUCAGGAUGGAAGAAGGAGCCAAGAAAAGGAUACCACUCUUAUCAAACUAUGAACGGGCUUUAGUAAAGGCUGAUGAAAAGGAUAAAAGGAAAGGAAAGUCAUCUUCCAGCGGUGCUGUCCCCGACCUCAGCCAUUUAUCAAAAAAAGAUGCUCAACGGGUAAAAGCAAUGCCCUUGGAUCAACAAGCAGAAGUAUUGAAGUUCAUGCAAGAAACAGGUCUGGGACUUGAUGAAUGCCUAGGGCAAGUUGAGACGCCAACUGCACCGCCCCCUGAGCCGAGAUGGCCUUAUGAGCUAGGCAAACCUCUAGUAAAGCCUUCAUUGGUACGAAAGCUAUCAACAAAGAUGUACGCAUUCCAUCAAUGGUACAUGAUGGCAUCCGCUGACUCAAGGGAGAUGCUCGGCCUGAAGGUAAAACCGAUGGAUUUUCACGACAGAGGCGAGAAAGUGCUGUGGCUAGACUUCAAGGAUAUAUACGAAGUGUACCAUCAUGAUGCCAUAGACGUCUCUCUGAUCCGCGCUUGGGUUCUGUAAGUGUCCGUUUAUCUCUACAUGUAAAUUUUGGCGUGCGUCACCGUACUAACUUCGUCUUCCAUUUCAUGUAGGAUGCUAAUUCAGACAUGCCGCCGAGAGGCGUACCUACAUAUAGGCUUCAUGGAUCCAUCUGUAGUUAACCAACAGCAGAUACAAUUAGCAUCGGAGAAAACCUUGGUGGAAGUAUACAAUUUCCUAGACAAACAAACAUUCAAGGAUUUCAUACUAUUUCCAUACAACUUCAAGUAAGUGUGUGUAUACCGUCUACUUUCGAUGUCUUUUUCCUUAUCUCUACAUGUUAGUUAGCUCUAAUAUGCAUGAACAUUUUACGCACGCAGCUUCCACUGGAUCCUUAUUAUAAUUGAGCCUCAAAGAAGCCACGUCACUGUCUUCAAUUCGUUGAGGAAAGAUCCAGUGGAGCACCAAGAAAUGCAACACAUGCUAGGCUUGUAAUAAUUCUGGACCUUUAUCUCUAUGCAAAAGUUUGUUUCCUAAAUUCUAUCCCUGUUACACUAUAUCAUUCAUUAUUCUAAUCCACAGCGUAUGGAAACAAUUCAUAAGGACACAAAAAGGUCCAUUCAAAGAAAAACUUACAUGGAACACAGACUUCCCGGUACAUAUGAAGUCUGCACAUUUAUUACAUUGUAUAACACGAAUAUUUCAUAACUUAUUUUUUUCCGUAUUGAAGUGCUUAAGACAGGAACUCGGAAAUAAUCUAUGUGGCUACUACAUCUGUGAGCACAUGCACAGUUUUAUGGGACCCAAGGGACUAAAGAUGACGCCGCACAACUUUAAAGUACGUAAAAUAAAACUAUUACUAGUUAAUUAUUUUCUAGCUCCUUAUAUGUAUUUGUUCACGUAACAUUCACAAAUUUCCAAAUUAUAGAUGUUAAAUAUUCAACAAGGACUCUUGAAGGAAGAAAGAGUAGCGGCAAUAUGUGAAGGUCUCAUUGGAUUCCUAAUGGACAAGGUGGUAGAUCCAAAAGGAGAAUUUUAUUUUGAUGGACGACAAUUAGACACUCUGAUCAGCAACACCUCGAUGGGAAGAUUGUAGAUAGAUACUUUGAUUUAUUUGUAUAUAUAAUACGCGCUAAUUAUGAUCGAUUUGUACUAGUUGAAUUCUGUAUAUGAAUUGUGUAUAAGAAUUGUGUAUAUAUAUAGUAACUGUAUAAUUACAAAUCCCAUUCGUUUAAAUACUAGUUAAUUUCAUUCUAAAAAAAUCUCAACUACUUAAGGUUAACAAAAGGGCUGCGGUACUACGUACGUGAUGCAUGCAUGAAAAAUUCAGGCGCCAGGCAGGUGCCAUGCAGGGCAUCAUUUAGUCCCGUUUGGAAUCCAGCCGGGACUAAAGGGUAACCCUUUACUCCCGGUUGGGAAACCCAACCGGGACUAAAGGGGGACCGUUACUCCCGGUUAAAAGACCCGGGACUAAAACCCCCCCUUUUGUCCCGGUUGGCUUAUCCCGGAUAAAUUUUCGGGAGAUAUGCACCCUACCAACCGGGACUAAAGGCCAAUUCUCCACUAGUGGAAGGUCCUUUCUCUACCAUGAAUAUUGCCAGAAAGAAUUGAAAGAGACCGCUUGCUAAAAACAUGUCAUAGAUGCGGACCAAGCUACCAAGGAGGUAGACCAAACAUGAUACACACCAUGCGUACCUUGCUGUGCAGACUAUGCAUGGACAAGAUACCCGACCACAUGUUGGCUUUGGUCACAUCAAAAGAAUCAUGUAGGCCAUUAAUAAACUACUUGAAGCGUCAUUCCGUAUCUUAUAUCCAUCAUCUGCAUUACAUUACAUUAAAUAUUAUUAACUAUUUGAAUAAAAUGAACCAAUUUAAAAAUAAUGAAUUGUACAUUACUACAAAAAGCCCUAGCACUGCCAGUUCCAAAAACAUCAUUGUUGACGGCCGUUAAGUACCAAAUAUGACGGUCAAUAUCCUAAAGAAUAAAGGACAAUUGGCAUUUCUUACACACAUAUUUGGUUUCGAAUAAUGUAGUUCUACAUGUCCUUGGAGAUUAUUUGGGUGUGGGUGAAAUAAUACAAAAAGAAGGAGAAAACACACUCCCAUGGCAAAGAAACAUAACUCCGACCAAUGAGAGAUAGCCACAGGGGCAGCACAUGGAUCCAUGGGCCCACAAACUGCAUCAAACCAUCUUACAAGGCGGGUAGCACCCACAACUGUCAUUAGGACCCACCUGGAAGUCUAGCAAAGAAGAAGGUUGUGAGUGGGGCCACGAGGGGUUCGGUUGAAUCAUCUCUAGCUCCCUUCAUCCCCAGCUGGCGCGUGGCGGUGGUUCAUGGUGUCCCGACAUCGGUUAGAGGACAUUCCCCCAAAUAUUCCUCCUGUAAACCAGCUCUAUGAACCUAUAAAUAGAGGGGUGUGCUCUCCAUUCCAACACACACCACAAGUUGAAGCACUCUCUCCCUCUUUAGUUUCCAAGUUUACGGAGAUAGGCUGGAGUAGCUCUGCUAAAGGUUCCAAGUCCACUUGGAGUUAAGCGUAUGUCUCUUGUAUCAUUAUUUCCUAGAGAGACUUUAUGCUAUUCAAGUUAUUUAUCUUCUUCAUAUAGUGUUAUGCUUAGUUCUUAUAUGCAUGAGUUAGUCUAAUACCCUUGCUCUAUUGAUAUGCUCAGCUUAUGUGCUCGUAUGCUAGUCAUGUACCCUUGCUGUCAUAGUAUAGGGUUAUAUGCUGUCAUGUGUGCCUAUAGACCUUGCUACAGUAUAUACUUGUUGUGUAUACAUACCAUUUGUAUAUACAUUAUUACAAGUUAAGGUAGUUUUAAAUAUCCUUGUGUUGACAACCAAAGCUUGAUCUUUUGUUUCCAUUGCCAGCGGAUUCAUCGGCUCAGAGUAGGAUCAAGACAUCAAGUUGAUGGAGUUCUUUAUAUUUCAAGAGGAGUCAUGGAGUUCUUUAUAUUUCAAGAGGAGUUGAUGGUGCUUUCAAUAUUGCAACCAGACAUCAUUGGCUCUGAAGACACCGAAUCAUCGGAGUUCUAUGAUCAGUUUCGGAACAUGAAGCCUUCAUACUCCGAAACUGGGGGGCCUGUGUUGACACCGAAUUAUCGGACUUCUAUAAUUAGUUUCGGAACAUGAAGCCUUCAUACUUCGAAACUGGGGGGUAUGUGUUUACACCAAAAUUUAGAAAUGUGCUCUGAAAGGAAGGACCUGGGAGAUCUAUUGGCUGAAAUACAAAUCCAUCGAAACUAGCCUUAUGCUAAGAGAUCAGAAUAUUGUACAAAGUCUAGAAAGUUCUAUUUACAUCUAAGUAACUCGAUAACUAGCCUUACGCUAAGAGAUCAGAAUAUUGGACAAAGCCUACAAAGUUCUAAUAUAGGUAACGUAAUGACCAGGUGAGGAUAGUUACAAGCUCGCUUGAGAUCGAAGCCGAUGUAGCCCUGCGCGCAAGAAGAAACUCACCUAUUUCUACUCUACUCUUACUCCUAGGGUUUGAUGGCGUGGCGUCAAAAGAUUGUAUUGAUUGAUUGAUUAUUUGAUACAAAGCUCAUGGGCCUAUAUUUAUACCCUUGAGAAAGCUAAAAUCCUAAUCAGUUAUGACAUGAAUCGUGACAGAAAAUCUAACUAAAGAUAGAUCUCCAUGCUUUCCCUUAUUUGGUGGAGUCGAUUUCACUUCAUAUCGGAUCCCUCCCGAUCUUCUAUCGGCUUCUAGCAUCCGGUCAUCUGCGACUGGCCUUGGUCAACAUCAGGUGUCAACAGACUUAUUUCUUCUACAAGUUCAUCGGCUGUCAGAGCCUUGUCUUAGUCAGUUGACUCUAGUAAAAAAUCGAUGUCAAUACAUGCCCCCCAAUUUUUGAAUAAAAUAUUAUAUUUCAAAAUUCUCUUCUCUUGUCAACAGCUUUUGAAAGAAAAAGAGUCACUGCUGCAAUCAUAAUCUUUUUCCCCGGGUUUUGUGAUAGCACCCUCCUCAUUUUAAGGGAUUCACCAUGUGGAAAUUAUAAUAUAACUGCUUCACCCAUUUCGUUUUCUUCACCAAACCAACUAUUGUCAGCCGCUACAACCAAAAAUCAAUUAUUCCCUUCACAUGCCUAGCGACUGCAUCCAUCACUCAUCGUCACCAUUAGUCUCCAUGUGUCAAGGCUUCUUCAACCAGCAAUGGCGACAUUAUCUUCCAUUCCACAGGUACCAUGUAUCCUAGCCAUUCCUUUCCCCUUUCAACCUGAAAUCCAAUCUAGUCACUAUAUAUCAAACCUGUGUUCUUAAUCAAUACUUGCCCCCUUGUACUUAGAAACACCCUUUUGAUCCCCAUAUCCGAUACGCAAGCAGAAUACUUUCUAGGCCCCAUGGGUAGUGAAGACCCAAUAGAAUCUAUUAAUGCUGAAAUACUUGGACAAAGUCUAGAAAGUUCUAUUUACAUCUAAGUAACUCGAUAACUAGCCUUACGCUAAGAGAUUUAAAUAUUGGAUAAAGCCUAGAAAGUUCUUAUAUAGGUAACUGAAAAGUGUGUUGACGCAAAAAUUGGAUGGUUGACUCCUGCGUACUAACACACGGAACCAGGGAGAAUCUGCUUAGCUACUGUUCGGGUUAUAGCCCUCUCGAUCCGUAGCGUGCCAGUUAAUCUGACCUGCUGAUUGACAAGUAAAAAUGUCAAAUUAAGAGCAAAUCAGCUGGUGUUCCGAAUCGCUCCACGGGACGUAUCAGUAGACAGCCGAUACGGGCAAACGACAAUCAGCUAGAUCAGCCGAUUUGCUCUUGUAUUUGACGUUUUACUUGUCCUUCUCAAUCAGCAGGUCAGAUUGACUCGCACGACGCAGAUCGAGAGGGCUAUAACCUAAACAAGAGCUAAGCAGAUUCUCCCGGGUUUCAUGUCUUAGUACACAGAAGUCAACCGUCUGAUUUUAUCAUCAACACGCUUUUUGGCACGCUCAGUGGGACCCGAUUCAUAUCUUAAUGGUAAUUGGUGAUCAAGUUUCAAACAACGUAUCCACUGGUAGAAAACUGAGCAUUAGUCCCGGUUGGUAAGGGUCAUAUCUCUCGGAUAUCCAUCCGGGAUAAACCAACCGGGACAAAAGGGGGGGGUCUUUAGUCCCGGGUAUUUUAACCGGGAGUAAAGGACCCCCUUUAGUCCCGGUUGGUGUCACCAACCGGGACUAAAGGGCCUGCCACGCCAGGCGCGGGACAGGCCCUUUAGUCCCGGUUGGUGACACCAACCGGGACUAAAGGGGGUCCCUUUAGUCCCGGUUGGAUUUCCCAACCGGGACUAAAGGGGUCCCCUUUAGUCCCGGCUCAAUUCCAACCGGGACUAAAUUGCGCUUGCAUGGCACUGGUGACGCCUGAAUUUUUCAUGCAUGCAUCACGUAUACGUAUAGUAGUACCGCGGCCCUUUUAAUUUGUUAACCUUGUAGUUGAGAUUUUUUUAGAAUGAAUUAAAUCAACUAGUAUUUAAACGAAUGGGAUUUGUAAUUACACAACUACUAUAUAUAUACACAAUCCUUAUACACAAUUCAUAUACACAAUUCAACUAGCUUAAUUAGUACAAAUCGAUCAUAUAUACAAAUAAAUCAAAGUAUCUUCCUACGAUCUUCCCGUCGUGGUGUUGCUGAGAGGAGUGUCUAAUUGUCGUCCAUCGUAAUAAAAUUCUCCUCUUGGAUUUACCACCUCGUCCAUUAUGAAUCCAAUGAGACCUUCACAUAUUGCCGCUACUCUUUCUUCCUUCAAGAGUCCUUGUUGAAUAUUUAACAUCUAUAAUUUGGAAAUUUGUGAAUGUUACAUGAACAAAUACAUAUAAGGAGCUAGAAAAUAAUUAACUAGUAAUAUAUUUAUUUUACGUACUUUAAAGUUGUGCGGCGUCAUCUUCGGUCCCUUGGGUCCCAAAAAACUGUGCAUGUGCUCACAGAUGUAGUAGCCACAUAGGUUAUUCCCGGGUUCCUGUCUUAAGCACUUCAGUGCGGAAAAAAAAUAAGUUAUGAAAUAUUCGUGUUAUACAAUGUAAUAAAUGUGCAGACUUCAUACGUACCGGGAAGUCUGUGUUCCAUGUAAGAUCUUCUUUGAAUGGACCUUUGUGUGUCCUUAUGAAUUGUUUCCAUACGCUGCGGAUUAGAAUAAUGAAUGACAUAGUGUAACAGGGAUAAAAUUUAGGAAAUAAAUUUUUGCAUAGAGAUAAAGGUCCAGAAUUAUUACAAGCCUAGCAUGUCUUGCAAUUCUUGGUAGUCCACCGGAUCUUUCCGUAACGAAUCAAAGACAGUGACGUGGCUUCUUUCAGGCUCAAUUAUAAUAAGGAUCCAGUGGAAGCUGCGUGCGUAAAAUGUUCAUGCAUAUUAGAGCUAACUAACAUGUAGAGAUAAGGAAAAAGACAUCGAAAGUAGACGGUAUACACACACUUACUUGAAGUUGUAUGGAAGUAGUAUGAAAUCCUUGAAUGUUUGUUUGUGUAGGAAAUUGUAUAUUUCGGCAAAGGUUUUUUCCGGCGCUAAUUGUAUCUGUUGUUGGUUAACUACAGAUGGAUCCAUGAAGCCUACAUGUAGGUACGCCUCUCGGCGGCAUGUCUGAAUUAGCAUCCUACAUGAAAUGGAAGAUGAAGUUAGUACGGUGACGCACGCCAAAAUUUACAUGUAGAGAUAAUAAACGGACACUUACAGAAUCCAAGCGCUGAUCAGAGAGACGUCCAGGGCAUCAUGAUGGUACACUUCGUAUAUAUCCUUGAAGUCUAGCCACAGCACUUUCUCCCCUUCACCGUGAAAAUCUAUCGGUUUUACCUUCAUGCCGAUCAUCUCCCUCGAUUUGGCGGAUGCCGUCAUGUACCAUUGAUGGAAUUCGUACAUCUUUGUUGACAGCUUCCGUACCAUUGCCGGCUUCACUAGAGGCUUGCCUAGCUCAUAAGGCCAUCUCGGCUCAGGGGGCGGUGCAGUUGGCGUCUCGACUUGCCCUAUGCAUUCUUCAAGUCCCAGACCUGUUUCUUCCAUGAACUUCAAUAUAUUUUCUUGUUGAUCCAAGGGCAUUGCUUUUACCCGUUGAGCAUCUUUCUUUGAUAAAUGGCUGAGGUCGGGGACUGAACCGCUGGAGGAUGAUUUUCCUUUUCUUUUAUCCUUUUCAUCAGCCUUUACUAGAGCCCGUUCAUAGUUUGACAAGAGUGGUAUCCUUUUCUUGGCUCCUUCCUCCAUCCUGAUAAAAAAGUUUAAAUCCCGCCGACUUACUGGCGGUGGCUCCAUCUCCCUUGCCCUUUUUAAUUCGGCUUGUUUCUUGAACCACUCACUGGCCUCUCGUUGGAUUUCUGCCCACUGUUCCGCAUGAGACAUUGCCUCAAAGCGUUCCUUGCGAGCCACUUCAGGGUCGACCUUUGUUUUCUUCUUUCGAGGCUGUCUUUGCUUGGGAGGCGGUGCUCGUGACUUCUUGAGUGGUGCUGCAGGUUCCUUCGAGGGGGCCGCUCUUGGUGCCAGCGACGGUGAUCGGGGAGGGGUGUUGUUAUUGUCGUCGUCGCUCCCAGCACCAGGAUGUGGUGGAGAUGGAGACCUUGAUAUAGAUGGAAGCGACGGUCCUGGAGCAGGAGAUGCCGGUCUCGAGGUAUGAGGAGAAGGUCGCUGCUCGGGAUCUACGGGGAGCGGUCUUGAGGUCUGAGGAGAUGGCUCCGUGCGGGAAAUAAUGAUGUAGCGUUUCUUCCAUAGAAUGAUCCCAUGAAGCGCAUCUGCCAAUGUCUUUUCCCCGUCGCCUCCCGGGAAGUCGAGCUCUAGACCUUCAUACUGGGCAUCUACUAUUUGCUCGACGCAGACGCUGGCGUAGCCUGUUGGAAUGUCCAUGCCAUGACUGCUCUGCCCUGCCAGCGUUGGUAACGCACUCCCAUACGCUACCUGUACAUAUAGCAGAAGUAAACAAGUUGAACUCCGAUCUCGAGGCCUGGAUCAAUUGACAAGAUUGCAUAAAUAUUAUGUAUAAGUAUACCUUAAUAGUGAGGUUGCCGACCGGUGCAUGCAGCUCACAUGAGGUCCGUUGCGUGAUGGCAUCCACGGGGAACCGUUGCUCCUCCACGGGUAACCUGGGCGUCUGCGCAUCGGGGACCCCUGUAGAAGCACAACUGCUCCCGAGGCGUUGAGAAGGGCUGGCGGUGUGAGGAUUCGGCAGUGCUCCAGAUUGCGCCAACUCCGCAACUGCGUCGGCCACCCGCCGAUUGAUUUCAUCCAUCAUUCGUUGUUCUAGCAUCUGCCGCCAGCUCUCCUCCAUCUGUUCCUUUCUUCGCUUCCGGCUUCUGUAAGAGGCGCUGUCGCCUCGGAAAGCGAACUUCCACGGAACCACCCCGAACCCCCGGCAACGUCCUGGGUGCUCUGGAUUACCGAGGGCCAAUGUGAGCUCAUCAUUUUCUCGGUCCACCCUCAACCUCCCAGCCUUGGAAUCUUCAAUGUUCUUCAUGAGAUGUUCGGCCUUCUCACGUAUUCUGUCAUUGAAAAUCAGCGUCCCAUCCUCUUGGCUUAGGGAGCCUCCAUGAGCGUAGUACCAGUUCUUUGAUCGUUCGGGCCAUUCAAUAGUUGCAGGUAUGAUUCCCCGUUCGAUCAGAUCUUGUUCCAUCUUUCUCCACUUGGGAAUUGCUGAGCCAUACCCACCUCGCCCCAAAUGAUGGUGGUAGCCCUUCUGACUAGCAUUUGCAACGUUGGUCGUGAUCUUUUUCACACCUUCUUCACUCCUCUUGUAUUCAACAAAUGCAUCCCAGUGGUCCCUCAACUUGGGCCACGCGUUGAAGUCUGGAGUUUUGCCCUUCUUGAUGUAGUGGGUGUCCAGCAUCUUCUUGAAUGUCUGGAAUUGAGUAGCCAUCUUCUUAAGUGUCCACGCUUUGACAUCCUUCUCGCUAUAAUCUUCGGGGAAUGUGAAAUGCCUCUUCACGUCUUCCCACAGCAUAUUCUUUUCUGUCUCUGGAAGGGCGUACGGAUUAUCGCUUCUGCCCUUCCAUUCUCUGAUGCUGAUAGGCACGUUGUCCCGGACAAUUGCCCCGAUUUGACUAACGUACUUCUUUGCGACUUUCUCGGGAGCAACCGGCCUGCCCUCAUCUGUAACUUCGGUGAUGACAAGCCUCCCUUCCAUCACCUUUGUACGACCUCGGGUCUUCUGCCCUUGUGUCGAUCCGGAGGGCUAACAGUUUAAGAUUCGUUAAUUAGUACGUACUAGUAGCGGUGGCGUGAAACAAUACAAGAAUGGUUGUAUAUACCUCGCCGGAACCUUCCGCCACGGCAAGUUGUUGCUGCGGCUGUUGCUCUUCAUUCACAUCGGCAGACAUGUUGAGGAACAUGUCCGCCUGGGUGCCCUCUUCAUCCGUGUAUGAUAGUGGAACGUUGUCGCCACUAUCAUCACCAGCGAUUAUCUGCUCCAUGAUAUACCUUGCGGUCUCAUCGUCUGCCAUUUCAACUAUUGCUGCAAACAUACAUGGAAUCAUACAUGACAGUCAUAGAAAUCGUCUUAAUACAAAUUUGUAUAUAAUCACAGUUCGGAAUCAUACAUGUAUAUAAUGAAAUCAUAAAAUAACAUGAAUCGUACAAAGUCCGGAAUCUUUAUACAAAUUUCUAUGAAUUUAUACAAAUUUCUAUGAAUUUAUACAAAUUUCUAUGAAUUUCUAUGAAUUUCUAUGAAUUUCUAUGAAUUUCUAUGAAUUUCUAUGAAUUUAUACAAAUUUCUACGAAUUUCUAUGAAUUUCUAUGAAUUUCUAUGAAUUUAUACAAAUUUCUACGAAUUUCUAUGAAUUUCUACAAAUUUCUACGAUUUUCUAUGAAUUUCUACAAAUUUCUACGAAUUCCUACGAAUUUUGACGAAUUUCUACGAAUUUUGACGAAUUUCUACGAAUUUCUACGACGGCGAUAAGGGCGGCGAAGGCGGGACGGCGGCGGUCAGGGCGGCGGAGGCGGGACGGCGGCGGUCAGGGCGGCGGAGGCGGUUCACCGGAACCACGGGCGGUGCCUAAGCUACUACGUUGUGAUGGGCGGCAGGACGGCGGCGAUCACGGCGGCUACUCGGCGGCGAUCACGACGGCUACAAGGCGACUGUCACGGUAGCUACUCGGCGGGACGGCGGCGAUCACGACGGCGGGACGGUAGUUAACAACCUAACUACAAAUCUAACUUAACAAACUAACUAGAAAUCUAAAAAUCUAACUUAACAAAAUUAGAAAUCUAAAAAUCUAACUUAACAAAAUUACAAUUCCAUCUAAAAAAACAAAAUUAAAAAUUAAAAGAAAACGGCCAGCUCUCCCGGCGCACCGGCCGGCGCGGCAGACCUCUCGCGCGCGGGGCGGCGGCCGGGGCGGCGGGACGGCGGCGGCCGGGGCGGCCUGACGGCGGCGGCUGGGGCGGCGACGAGGACGAAGACGACGACGGCGGGAUGACGGCGGCCGAGGCGAAGACGACGACGGCGGCCGGCGAGGGGCGACGAGGAUGGAGCUGGCGACGAGGGGCGAUGCAGCCGGCGAGGGAGGCGGACGGGCGGCGACGGGCGGAGAGGGAGGCGGACGGGCGGCGACGGGCGAGGGAGGCGGACGGGCGACGACGACGGCGCAAUGCGGGACUUCGACGGCGCAAUGGGGGACGACGACGGCGGCGGCCGGCGAGGGAGGCGGACGGGCGGCGACGGGCGGAGAGCGCGGGACUUGCGAAAAUUUCGCUAAGUGUGGAACUGGCGGGGGGUAGAAGGGAGUACAGUGCUUUUAACCCCCCCCCCCUUUUAUCCCGGUUCGUAAUGGCACCCGGGACAAAAAGGGCCUUUUGUCCCGGGUCCUGUCACCAACCGGGACAAAAGGCCCCCCCUUUUAUCCCGGUUGGUGACGGGACCCGGGAUAAAAGGGUGCGCUCCCAGCCCCACCUGGCGGGGGCACCCUUUUAUCUCGGGUCCCGUUACCAACCGGGACAAAAGGCCCCCCCUUUUAUCCCGGUUGGUAACGGGACCCGGGACAAAAGGGUGCCCCCGCCAGGUGGGGCUGGGAGCGCACCCUUUUAUCCCGGGUCCCGUCACCAACCGGGAUAAAAGGGGGGGGCCUUUUAUCCCUGUUGCAAAUGGCAACCGGGAUAAAAGGGUACGUUCGGGCGGGAGACGAAACGUACCCUUUUAUCCCGGUUGCCGUUUGCAACCAGGAUAAAAGGGGGGCCUUUUAUCCCGGUUGCUGUUAGCACCCGGGACAAAAGGUCCUUUUUCCUAUUUUUCUUCUCCCGCCUGUUUUUUGGAAAUGGAUUUUAUUUAACCUUUUCACUGCAUUCCAGGAUGAAAAACAAAACCUUCUCAGAUUUUGUACAUGCAAAAAUAUAUUUAAUUAACGAGUAAAUUGACAAUAAGUAUGAAGUAAUCAUUAUUUCUAUACCAACUCAUAUAGCCUGUAAAAUAUUUAUUUUACUGCAUUGCUGUGAUCAAUAAAUUAUUCAAUUAAAUUUUUUGAAUGCGCAGAAAAAUCCAUGUUAGUAUGUGGUUAACAAUGUUCAUGUAUAUCUAAAAAAUCUUCACCUAACAAAUUUAAUUACAAAUUUUAUCAAUUAAUACACAAAGGUCAUGCACAUUUAACGCAUUACAAUACAACGUUGUAAAAUUUCUUCUUCACGAAAGUUCCUUGAUCAUGAUCGCGGCGUAAGUACGGAGCCUCUUCUUUGGACAGCAGGAUGCUUGGAUCAACUUCAACGUCGAAUGGAGGCAUGCCAUCAAACUGAUCAUAAUCAUCUGAUUGGUCUGUUUUAUCCUCGACUCCCACGAUUUUUCUUUUACCUAGAAGAACUAUGUGGCACUUUGGCUCCCAUGUCUCUUCUGGAUUCCUCUUGGGUUUGCUGCACAUGUCCUUCACAUAGAACACCUGAUGCACAUCAUUGGCAAGUACGAAUGGGUCAUCACUGUAUCCAGUCUUGCUCAGAUCUACUAUUGUCAUUCCGUACUGAUCUUUGGUGACGGCAGUUAGCUUCACCCAAUUGCAAAGAAAUAGAGGGAUGUACAGCGGUCCGUAUUCGAGUUCCCAUAUCUCCUGUAUGAAACCAUAAUACGACUCCUUGCUAUUAUUUCUGUCCAUGGCAUCUAUGCGGACACCACUAUUCUGGUUCGUGCUUUUCUGGUCCUGGGCUCUCGUGUAAAAUGUGUAACCAUUUAUCUCAUAGCCUUGGAAUUUGACGAUUGUGGUAGCAGGUCCCCUGGCUAACCAAGCAAGCUGUGGGUGAAUCUCAGAGUUACCCAUAAGUUGUUGGCGCAACCAGGAGGGAAAAGUUUCCAUGUGAUGACGGGUAAGCCAAGCAUCGGAUUUGGUCGGGUUUUUGGAAGCUACCAUCUGCCUGUGCUGCUCGAUAUACGGAGACACAAAGGAUGACUGUUGUAGAACAGUGUAGUGUGCCUUGUCGAACAAAUUAGUAUCAUUGCUCAAACUUGAUUUCCUUCCAAGGGUGCCCAUUCCUCGGAGCCUCCCCUCGUGGCGUGAAGUUGGAACCCCAAUCGAGUCAAUUGAAUCAAUAAAAUCAACACAAAACUCGAUCACCUCCUCUGUUCCAUAUCCCCUGGCGAUGCUUCCUUCUGGACGAGCACGAUUACGAACAUAGUUUUUUAGGACUGCCAUGAACCUCUCGAAAGGCCACAUAUUGUGCAGGUAUACAGGUCCGAGAAUACCAAUCUCUUUUACUAGGUGAACCAGUAAGUGCGUCAUAUUAUUGAAGAAGGAUGGUGGAAAUAACAACUCAAAACUGACAAGACAUUGCACCACAUCGUUCUGUAGCUUUGAUAGCUUGGAUGGAUCGAUUGCCUUCUGCGAAAUCGCAUUGAGAAACGCGCAUAGCUUUACGAGCGGCAACCGGACAUUUUCGGGUAGAACACCCCUCAGUGCAACCGGAAGCAACUGGGUCAUCAACAUGUGGCAGUCAUGAGCCUUGAGAUUUGUAAACUUCUUUUGUUUCAUAUUUAUUAUUCCCUUUAUAUUCGAGGAGUACCCAGACGGGACCUUCAUACUAUUCAAGCAUUCAAACAUACUAUCCUUCUCCUCCUUGCUGAGAGUGUAACUGGCAGGACGUAAGUAGUGCUGUCCAUUAUCUCUCUUUUCCGGAUGUAGGUCAUCUCGUUGCCCCAUGGCUUUCAGGUCCUGUCUUGCUUCCAAUGUAUCUUUUGAGGUUCCAUAAACACCCAUGAAGCCUAGCACGUUCACGCAAAGAUUCUUCGUCAGGUGCAUCACGUCUAUUGCGUUGCGAACCUCUAGGAUUUCCCAAUAAGGUAGCUCCCAAAAUAUUGACUUUUUCUUCCACAUGGGUGCAUGUCCGUUAUCAUCGUUCGGAAUAGGUUGGCUACCAAGUCCCUUUCCAAAGACUACAUGUACAUCCUUCAUCAUCUCGAACACACGCUUUCCAUUACGGUGUGCAGGUUUUUUACGAUGGUCUGGCGUCCCUUUGAAAUGCAUCCCGCUCUUUCUCAGCUGGUGGUGAGCAGGGAGAAAUCGACGAUGACCCAUAUAGACGACCUUCUUACAGUGCUUCAAGUACAUGCUAUCUGUGUCAUCUAAACAGUGGGUGCAUGCCCGAUAUCCCUUAUUUGUCUAUCCUGAAAGGUUACUCAAUGCAGGCCAAUCGUUGAUGGUUACGAACAACAGUGCUCGUAGAUUAAAGAUCUCUUGUCUAUCCUCAUCCCACACACGUACACCUUCUUCCUUCCAGAGCUGUAAAAGGUCAUCAACCAACGGCCUUAGGUACACGUCAAUGUCGUUGCCGGGUUGUUUUAGGCCUUGGAUAAGCGCCGGCAUCAUAAUGAACUUCCGCUUCAUGCACAGCCAAGGAGGAAGGUUGAACAUACAAAGGGUCACAGGCCAAGUACUAUGACCACUACUCAACUCACCGAAUGGAUUGAAUCCAUCAGUGCUUAAACCAAACCUUAUGUUCCUUGCUUCACUUUCAAAGUCUGGGAAUGUUCUAUCAAUUGAUCUCCACUGUGCCCCAUCUGCGGGGUGUCUCAGCAUCUCAUCUUCCUUACGGUCUUCUUUGUGCCAUCGCAUCAACUUAGCAUUCGCCUUGUUCCUGAACAAGCGCUUCAAGCGUGGUAUUAUAGGGAAAUACCACAUCACCUUCACGGGAACUCUCUUCUUGGGAGACUGCCCCUCGACAUCACCAGGAUCAUCUCGCCUGAUCUUAUACCGCAGGGCUUCGCAGACGGGACAAGCAUCCAAUUCCUCGUAUUCAUCACCACGAUAGAGGAUACAGUCAUUAGGGCAUGCGUGUAUCUUCUGAACAUCCAAUCCGAGAGGGCAAAUAAUCUGUUUAGCUUCAUAUGUUGUGGACGGUAAUUCAUUAUUCUCGGGGAGAAUCUUCUUGACAAUUCUCAACAUCCCCUGAAAUGCCUUAUCGGACACACCAUUUUUUGCCUUCCAUUGCACAAAUUCUAGUGUCGUACCUAGUUUUUUAUGGCCCUGCUGGCAACCUGGGUACAACAAUUUUUGGUGAUCAUCUAUCAUGCGCUGCAACUUUGCUGCUUCCUUCUCAGUUUCGCAAUCUCUGUAUGCAUCUCGUAUCACCUGACCAAGGUCAUCAGUAGGGUCAUUUUCUGCAAACUCAUCUUCAUCAGCCUCGCCCAUUGUAGUACCUGCAAAAGCUUGGCCUGCAACCCAGUCCGGAAUGGUGUCAUCUUCCUCCUCCUCCUCGCCAUCUUCCAUUACAACCCCUAGUUCACCGUGCUUGGUCCAAACCAAAUAGUUAGGCAUGAAACCGUAUUUAAACAAGUGGCUGUGAAUAGUCCCCCAGGAAUUCUUUGAAUACUCCUUCCUGUUAUUGCAUUGGAAGCAUGGACAACAUACGAACCCAUUCUCUGGCUUGUUCGCUUUUGCCACUUCGAGAAAAUAAUGCAAGCCAUCAAUAAACACCUUGCUCCGCCUGUCUGCAUUAUACAUCCAAUGCCGGUCCAUCUGCAUCGUAUUACGCACGAAAAUGGAUUACACUUGACAAUGGAUUACGCGUGAAAAUCGAUUAAAGAUCCAAACAACAUGGUACAAUACAACAACAUGAAGAUCCAAAUACACAUAUUUAAAUUAAAGUCCCAAACACUGCAUAAGUUGUUCAACUUGAAGACCGUGAUCAUCUCGUGAGGAUGUCCUCAACUGGGCGGCACCGCACUUCGUCAUUAAAGAGGUUAGAUGCUACGGAAAAGGGGACACGGUCACAAUGUCCGUAUCCACUCUUUCUCGUAGAAUCGAACCUCCUUCUUGACAUACGUUGCUGCUCGGCGGAGAACAUCCUCGGCGAGAUGAACACGGUAUGCAAGUUCAACAAGUAGCAGAAGUCAUCUAUGUACAAAAAUUCUUUCCUUACCACUACAGAAGUUGUUGAACUUGAAGACCGUGUUCAUUUCGCGAGGAUGUCCUCAGCUAGGCGGCACCGCACUUCGUCAUGAAAGAGGUUAGAUGCUACGGAAAAGGGGACACGGUCACGAUGUCCGUAUCCACUCUUUCUCGUAGAAUCGAACCUCCUUCUUGACAUACGUUGCUGCUCGGCGGAGAACAUUCUCGCCGAAAUGAACACGGUAUGCAAGUUCAACAAGUAUAUGGAUUUAAAAAACCAUAUUGAAUUUGAUAAGAUAAACCGUCUAGACAAGGUAGCAUCAUUUUUAAACCACUGAAAUAAUGCAUACUAUAUAUGACACAUCAAUCUCCCUCACAUUCUAGCUCAAAAUACCUCUCCAUUUUUCUACUUCAUCAUCACAUUGUAGCAAAUAAUCUUUCCAUCUCCAAAGCAUAAAUCAAAGCAUAACACGAGGAUGAAGUAGCAAACCUUCGCAGCACUUGUUGGCUGAGUCAAAUUCCCACGAAAAUGAGGGAAAAAAGUUCGGGCAGCACCUCCCUUGCUUGGGCACCACCGGAGAGUAGGUGAAGCUCAGCUCUCUAUCAAUGUGCUGGACUGCUCGGGCUGGAGGAAGAAGAAAGUCUCUGUCUCGGGGUAUAGUGGGGGAUGAGUUUUAAUCCCGGUUAAAAACUCCAACCGAGACAAAAGGAAACACCUUUUGUCCCGGUUGGAAAGUUAGUCCCGGUUGGAGGAUCCAACCGGGAUAAAAGGGACACCCUUUUAUCCCGGUUGGAGGCACCAACCGGGACUAACCCUUUUAUCCCGGUUGGUGCCUCCAACCGGGAUAAAAGGGUGUCCCUUUUAUCCCGGUUGGAUCCUCCAACCGGGAUAAAAGGGUCCCGCCACCGACGGCCCCCGCUAGCCGUUGCAACCGGGACUAAAGGGGGGCCUUUAGUCCCGGUUGCAAUUACCAACCGGGACUAAUGCUCCCCUCCAAAUUCCCGCACCCCGGCGCACCCCCUUUUGUCCCGGGCCACUUUUAAACCGGGAUAAAAGGGGGUUGAUCGAAAGUCAGUUCUCUACUAGUGAUCGGUGACUCCGCUCGAGGAGAAUUGUUUAUAUCAAGCAUAGAAAUGACAACGUUGGAAGUGGAGGAUAUAUUUUGCUCUGUUGAUUUAAUUGCCGCGAGAGUGGCGGACAAGUUCUAAUGAUUGAAGAUCAGAAGCGUCUCGUGGAGAAUUUUUCAGAAGCUAUAUUUGGAAUUAUUAUAUUAUCUCAGGAGCAGAUUAAAUAUAACGCCACCACUGAAAGCCGAUGAGAUGUAUCUAUCGGCUACAUGCUAUUCAGAUGAAUUUGAUGACAGAUUAAUUACGGAGGAGACCGACCGAUACAACAUUAUGGUUUCUUACUGCUGAUCUGUUAUGAAAGAGGAUGUGAGAAGCUGAUAAUCAAGCAACAAUAAAAUGAUAUACACGCAGGGCAUUAAAUAUUGAGUUAAUGAUUGGGAGUACUACCAUUAUCUUAUGAAAAGUCCAUCGGCUAACCAAACAGCGUCAGCCGAUGGAAGCAAAUAGUGUCAGCCGAUAGAAUGAUGUUAUAUAAGUAUAUAUAUCGGCCUCCGAGCCAAUGGGAAGUAGGAACUAUCAGCCGAUGCACACAUCCAUGGACAUAGCCGAUAAGACAUUGUAUCGGCUGCUUGGCAAAUAAAAAUAGCAUCGGCUGACCGCUUGUUAAAAUAUUAUCGGCCGAUUGCUUGGCAAAAUAGUAUUGGCUGACUGCUUGGCAAAUAAAAAAAUAAUAGGUUGACCAAAAAAGGAUAGCAUUGCCUGAUUGCUUGGCAAAUAAAAAAAAUUACGUCGGCUGAUUGGUUCCAGCAAAAUAGUAUCGGCUGCUUGUUGAUCAGAAAAAGCCGAUACUGUUACAGCUCCCGCAACUGUGCUUUGCUGUCAUCGGCUGGGUUGUUCGUGCUCCAUCUGCAAAUAUUUGUCCCGGCUAGAAAGUAUCGUACGUGCAUUGGGAUUCGGCAGUACAAAUCACGUACACGCGUAUGGUCUGCUCAGAAGCUGUCUGUUCGACGAAGUUCCAGGCCAAUGGUGGAGACUUGAUGACCAUGGUGACCUGCAUUAAUCAACAUGAAGUAUGUAUCGGCUGUUCGGUGAUUGGUAGCAAAUCAGCUUUCUCAUAGCCGGUGACAUAUGGGGCAAGAAAUAUCAGGCUUAAAAAAGGACAGUACGAUCAAUGUCGAAAGUUGUAGCCGACGGUUCUAUUAUUGUGCAGUCGAUGGAACAUAGAAGAUGCAUCUGAAUGAGCAAAAGGAAGGGAGCCGAUAGAAGGGAAUUUAAGUUGCAUGAGAUCCAAUUAAAUUAAGAUGACGAGAGGUGUUGACAUCGAAUCAUCGGACUUCUACGAAGUCUUCAUACUCCGAAACUAGGGAGUCUGUGUUAACACCAAAAUUUAGAAAUAUGCUGAUGCAAAAAAAUAAUGAAAUCUCCUAAAUAAGGCUCAAGAAAGAAAAAGCAAGAAAAGAAAAUCAAUCGCACGCGGCAAGAAUUGAAUAAAAUAUUCUAGAGGUAGAGUUGGUUAGGAUAAGCUUAAUUAGGGAUAGAGUUGGAUUAGUUAGAGAUAGUAUUUUGAUUAGAAAAGAUUGUGUACAUGACUUGUACGUGGUGCGUCAGAGGCCAUCCGCCCUAUAAAUAUAAGGGGUCGUGGCCAUUGUAAUUAUCAUCACACGAUCAAUAUACAACAUAUUUAUCUUUUACCUUUUCGGCUUCACGCCAUUGUAUUAGGAGUAGGAGUAAUGUAGCUUCCUGACGAGUUCCUUCUAGCAAGCUGUGCUGCAUUGACCUUGAUCUCUGGCGAGCUGCAAAGUUCCGUCACCAGGUGUUCUAGGCUUUAACCACCGGGCGCAUCGCUUGUGGUUUCGUCUAGUUUCAUCUACAAGGUAUCGAAUAUCAUGGAUCUUUAACUUACGCAUCGCUUCUGUCUUGAUCUACGGUAUUCACCAGUUAUCCUGCCUUGGUUAAGUCUGCAUCGGCUGAUAUUUAUCUGUUCUAUCAUCUUGCCGUUCAGUUUGCUUUAAUUAGCUUUAGAUCGGUUCAUUAUAGAUGAUAGAUCGCUUAAUAGCCUGUUGCAUCUUAAUCUUGGUUACCCCUUCAAGUGCUGUUGGGAUUAAGUUUCGUUAUGAUUGGAUUCAUCGGCUGGUGGGGUUGGUGGGGUUCAGAUUAACAUCGUGCUAAAUAUUUCUAGACUGCAACUACUGGACGCAUCGCUGUGGUUUCAUCUAGAGAUAUUGGUAGAGAGUUUAGUUUAGAUCUCAUCGGUUCGUGGCUCUAGCUAUGGUGGAGCGGCAGCUGAAUAGCAUCCUGUUUUCUAUCGGUCGCCUGGCCGAUAGUUAUUGCAAAAUAUAUUAAAUCGCCUGGAUGGCCGAUGGAUCACUCACGCUCGUCAAGGAUCAUAUCGGCCUGAUCGGCCAGUUGCCUCGGACUUCAAAGGAUUAUUUUCACCUUGUCAGUUGAAUGGUCAAACUGGCUGGCACGCCCGCGCACACCAUGCGCGCCGAUUUGGAUUUUGCACUGGAGUUAAGUAGAUCUUCCAGGUCCUCAUGUGGUGACGAAGGAUCCACCACCAUCAGGAUUUUGCGUCAACACAUUUUGGCACGCCCAGUGGGACACGGUUAUAAGGUUCAUAUUUUUAUUCAUAUAAAAAAGCAUCUUCGGCAUCAUCGGCCAAAUGAGUGUUCAUCGGCUUGUUAGAAUUAAUUCAAUAUAAUAUUUCAGCAAAAGCAGCCGAUGUAGCGAUUGGAGAUAAGGCCAAGUCAAGUCUGCGUGUAUACGCAUGUUCCGGUGGGAUCAUCUUCAUAAAUGCCAAUGACGAUUAGAGAUGAAGCUUCCUGCAAAAUGAUUGGCUACUCUAUCCGGGAAGAAUUGCUUUUUUAUGAGGCAUAUAUAGAGACCCAUGUUGCAAUUAGGGGGCGUAUUCGUGCAUUGGCUGAAAUAAAAAAAUGCAUCGGCAUAUUGAAAAUUGCAUCGGCCGAUUGACAGUCGUAUCAGCUGAUUGGAAAAAUAAAAAGGGAUCAGGGAUCCGCCGAUUGAAAAUUGCAUCAGCUGAUGGAAAAUGAGAGCAACAGUUACAAUAUUUUUUUUAAAAGAAAGCAAGUAUCGGCAAGCAGUAGCCGAUGGAUUUGUAUUUCAGCCAAUGGGGUUUUUGUUUCAGCUGAUAGUACUACUGGCUGAUGGCAAGUCCAAUGGAGUUAAAAUUGCAUUGACUGAUUGAAAUAAAAAUUAAGUAUCGGCUAAUUUAUGGCCAAGUAGCAUCUGCUGAUUUGUUGCAAAGUAGUUUCGGCUGAUUUAUGGCAAAAUAGAAUCGGCCGAUUUAUGGCAAAGAAGCCAAUAGACAAAAGCAUCGGCUGGUAGAGAAGCCGAUUGAGCAAGCAUCUGUUGAUGAGCUAUGUAUGGGAAAAAGUAUUGGCUGCUUAAACAAUUGACAAAAGCCAAUUGGUCAGACUGAGAAGCCAACUGGGAAAGCAUCGAUCGAUGGAUUGCGUAUGGGAGAGAGUAUCGGUUGAAGUCUUUAGUAUUGACUGCUAGAUAUUUGAGCAAGCGUCGGCCGAUUGACUGCUUGGUAAAAAAAACAUCGGGCUGAUUGCUUGGUUAAUAAAAAAAUUGCAUCGUUCAAGCAAAGAUUGCAUGGGCUGAUUGGUUCAAGCAGAAUAGUAUCGGUUGCUUAUAGAAUAUAUCGGAUAUUAAUUUCGAAGCAUGAAAAUAUUCAUACUCCGAAACUGGGGGGCCUGUGUUGACAACAAAAGCUUGCUGGUUACUGCAUCAAGUUUUGGUGUCAACAUACUUGAUCUUUUGUUUCCAUUGCCAGCGGAUUCAUCGGCUCAGAGUGGGAUCAAGACAUCAAGCUGAUGGAGUUCUUUAUAUUUCAAGAGGAGUCAUGGAGUUCUUUAUAUUUCAAGAGUAGUCGAUGGUGCUUUGAAUAUUGCAACCAGACGUCAUUGGCUCUAAAGAUACCGAAUCAUCGGACUUCUAUGAUCAGUUUCGGAACAUGAAGCCUUCAUACUACGAAACUGGGGGCCUGUGUUGACACCGAAUCAUCGGACUUCUAUAAUUAGUUUUGGAACAUGAAGCCUUCAUACUUCGAAACUGGGGGGCCUAUGUUAACACCAAAAUUUAGAAAUGUGCUCUGAAAGGAAGGUAUCGGCCGAUGAUGCAAAAAAAUAAUGAAAUCUCCUAAAUAAGGCUGAAGAAAGAAAAGCAAGAAAAGGAAAUCAACGCACACGGCAAGAAUUGAAUAAAAUAUUCUGGAGAUAGAGUUGGUUAGGAUAAGCUUGAUUAGAGAUAGAGUUGGAUUAUUUAGAGAUAGUAUUUUGAUUAGAAAAAAUUGUGUACAUGACUUGCCUUGUACGUGGUGCGUCAGAGGCCAUCCGCCCUAUAAAUAUAAGGGGUCGUGGCCAUUGUAAUUAUCAUCACACGAUCAAUAUACAACAUAUUUAUCUUUUACCUUUUCGGCUUCACGCCAUUGCAUUAGGAGUAGGAGUAAUGUAGCUUCUCGACGAGUUCCUUCUAGCAAGCUGGGCUGCAUCGACUUCGAUCUUCGGUGAGCUGCAAGUUCCGUCACCAGGUGUUCUAGGCUUUAACCACUGGGCGCAUCGCUGUGGUUUCGUCUAGUUUCUUCUACCAGUUACCGAGUAUCUUGGAUCUUUGACUUAUGGCACAUCGCUUCUGUCUCGAUCUACGGUAUUCACCAGUUAUCCCGCCUUGAUUAAGCUUGCAUCGGCUGAUAUGUAUCUGUUCUUUCAUCUUGCCGUUCAAUUUGCUUUAGUUAGCUUUAGAUCGGUUCAUCAUAGACAAUAGAUCAUUUAAUAGCAUGUUGCAUCUUGAUCUUAGCUAUCCUUCGAGUGUUGUUGGGAGUAAGUUCCGUUGUGAUUGGAUCCAUCAGCUAGCAGGGUUUAGAUUAACAUCCUGCUAAAUAUUUCUAGACUGCAACUACCGGGCACAUUGUUGUGGUUUCACCUAGAGAUAUUGGUGGUGACGUUAGUUUAGAUCUCAUCGGCUUGUGGCUCUAGCUAUGGCGGGGCAACAACUCAACAACAUCCUGUUUUCAAUCGACCGUCUAACUGAUAGCUAUUGUAAAUUAUAUUAAAUCGGCUGGAUGACGAUGAAUCACUCACAUUCAUCAAGGUACUGGAAUCGGCUUCACAGCCGAUAUAUUUGUCAUGAUUUAUUUUGUUGCACCAUUAUCGCUACUGUGCUAGGAUUAUAUCGGCCUAAUCGGCCAGUUUCCUCGGACUUCACAACGACUAUCAUCUCCUUGUCAGUUGAAUGGUCAAACUGACUGGCAUGCCCGCGCACACCACACGUGCCGAUUUGGAUUCUGCACUGGAAUUAAGCAGAUCUCCCAGGUUCUCAUGUGCUGAUGCAGGGUCCACCACCGCCAGGAUUUUGUGUCAACACCUUGUAAUCUUCCUUUGAUUUCCUCAAUGAUUCGAAGACAAUAACCUUGCUUGUAUAAAUGAUAAUUAUAAGGAGAACCUAGUGGAAACUGUGUAUUCAUAUUAGAACUACCUAUGGUUAAUUAGGUUAGGAAAGGAAAUCGAAAAUAGACCGUACCCACACUUACUUAAAGUUGUUGGGCAGUAGUAUGUAAUGCUUGUAAUUCUGUUACUCCAAGAAUUUGUAUAUGUGGUCCAAUGUAGACUUUGGUUGAUCCCAUAUCUGUUGUUGGUUAAAUAAGUGUUUCUGGCCAUUUCUAGCCGUUAGAACCGGAACUAAAGGGGGCUCUUUAGUACGGGUUGAUAUUACUAACCGGGACUGAAGAGCCCCCAUUACAGUUGGUUUUUGGACGCGGAACUAACAACUCCUUUAGUCCCGAGUCCAAAAACGACUGAGAUAGAAGAUCCUUUCUCUACCGUGAAUAUUGCCAGAAAGAAUUGAAAGAGACCGCUUGCUAAAAAUAUGUCAUAGAUGUAGACCAAGCUACCAAGGAGGUAGACCAAACAUGAUACACACCAUGCGUACCUUGCUGUGCAGACUAUGCAUAGACAAGACACCCGACCACAUGUUGGCCUCGGUCACAUCAAAAGAAUCAUGUAGGCCACCAAUAAACUACUUGAAGCGUCAUUCCGUAUCGUAUAUGCAUUGCCGGUUCAUCUGCAUUACAUUACAUAAAGUAGUAUUAACUAUUUGAAUAAAAUGAACCAAUUUAAAAGUAAUGUGUUGUACUCUACUAUAGAAAGCCCUAUCACUGUCGGAUCCAGAAACAUCAUUGUUGAUGGUCGUUAAGUACCAAGACGGUCAAUAUUCUCAAGAAUAAUGGAGAAUUGGCAUUUCUUACACACAUAUUUGGUUUUGAACAAUGUAGUCCCACAUGUCCUUGGAGAUUAUUUGGGUGUGGGUGAAAUAAUACAAAAAGAAGGAGAAAACACACUCCCAUGGUGAAGAAACAAAACUCCGACCAAUGAGAGAUAGCCACAGGGGCAGCACACGGAUCCAUGGGCCCACAAACCGCAUCAAACUGUCUUACCAAGGCGGGUAGCACCCACAACCAUGAUUAGGACCCACCUGGAUGUCUACCAAGAAGAAGGUUGUGAGUGGGGCCAGGAGGGGUUCGGCUGAAUCAUCUCUAGCUCCCCUCAUCCCCAGCUGGUGCAUGGCGGUGGUUAAUGGUGUCCCUACAUCGGUUAGAGGAGAUUCCCCCAAAUAUUCCUCCUGUAAACCACCUGUAUGGACCUAUACAUAGAGGGGUGUGCUCUCCAAUCCAACACACACCACAAGUUUAAUCACUCUCUCCCUCUUUAAUUUCCAUGUUUAUGGAGUUAGCCUAGAGUAGCUCUGCUCAAGGUUCCAAGUCCACUUGGAGUUAAGCAUAUGUCUCUUGUAUCGUUAUUUCCCAGAUUGACUUUAUGCUUAGUUCUUAUAUGCAUGAGUUAGUCUAAUAGCCUUGCUCUAUUGAUAUGCUCGGCUUAUAUGCUCGUAUGCUAGUCAUAUACCCUUGCUGCCGUAGUAUAGGCUUAUAUGCUCUCAUGUGUGCCUUUAGACCUUGCUACAAUAUAUACUUGUUGUGUAUACAUACCAUGUAUAGGCUAGUCGAUCUAUACCAUGGCAUUGGUUCAAUAGCCAUGUUUUUGGUGGCUCCAACCCUAGUCAGAAUAGCUCGGGACAGCUAGAGUGUUGUUAAAAAUGCAAGAGUGAUGGUUGGGUUGUUUAGCAUCGUUGGAUAUGGGUUUUCCCCACGGGUUUCUAAGAGUAGGCGGCAGCUAGUGACAGCCCUGUCCGUCCUUCGUAAUCCCCCCACAUUCAAGUACGCCAUAGAAGUUCAUAAAUUAGCAGUAACUACACCGGCAGACCGGUAGGGUAUUGUCUCCCUAUAGUACCUUGGUGCAUAGAACUAGGUCAUAUACACUGUGUGUCUAUGUUUACGCUGAUAUGAUCUGUGCAGUAUAUAGCAUGUAUAUAUGAACCUAGAGCUAACUCCUAGUCCAUUCUCCGUAGCUUAGUUAUCUUGAGAUGAUUCUUCUGUGUGUGUAACACUACCCAUCUUAUCAUUAUCCUUAAUCCUGUCUUGUGUAAUAUAUCUACUCAUCCUAUGAUAUACUCAUAUGCAUAGUAAACUAUUUUGACCUACCCGCCUUCCUUUGGGAAAUACGAUACCCUGGAAUAAUCCUAGGUGAAAUGCUACAACGGUAUAUCCAUGUGCUUACGGAAUUAUUCCUGACCAUUAAAUAUACCAACAAUCAUCACUAUCUAUUUUGGGCAUCGUUAGUGAAGGGUCGGCAGUGAUGGGCAUCCCCUUCACCAAUGGAGCUGGAACUGGCGGUGAUGGCCAUUAAAAAAAAUGGGACCCCACCCAGCGUACCCCGCAACCCGGCCGGCUGCGCCUCCCAUCAUCCCCGCCGGUCGCCCUUCCUCUUUGCCGGCCGAGCAUGGUUCCGGCCCUCGUCCCUACCGCCUCGCCUCCAUCGCGACCCCCUGCCGAUGCCCUCAUGCCUGGCCCCCCUCGUCUGGCCGGCCACCCUCCCGAUGCAUCCACCGGGGCCCUCGCACCACCAACCACCCUAGCCUAGAGAGAGAGAGGAGGAGGGAGGUGAGGCCACGCACCUCGUCCUACAACGCCGCUGUUGCUCCUCGGCCCACCGCGCCUCACCCCACACCACAGCCGCACCUCGCCAUCUUACCGGCCGCGACGCCCCAUCUCACCGGCCACCGUUCCUCACCCCCACAUCGGUCAUCGCUGCUCCUUGCCCUACUGCUGCUCUUUGCAGCCGCGAAUGAGGGGCGAGUGGAGGGGGAGGGGCGGGGCAGGAGGAGGGCAAGAUCCGGGAGGAAGGGAGAGAUUUUGGGAGGUGGAGAUGGAAGGAUAUGGCGGAAGGUAGAGAUCUAGAGGGAGAGAGCGGGGGGGAGAGGGGGGCAUGUGGGGAGAGAGCGCAUGUGGGGUGGGGCCGGGCUGGUGGGAUGGAAGGUAGAGGGGCCGGAGGGCGCAGUGCAUUCAACUGGAUUAAGUAAAUAUUUCGGAUUCGAGACCCCAGCUUUAUUAUCACCGCUGGUCCGUAGUACCAUUCGGUGCCGGCUCAUAAUUUAAUUUGAACCGGUGGUGAUGUUUUAUUAUCACUGCUGGUUUCAAUUUUCACCAUCGGAUCAUAUAAAAAUCCGGCGGUUAAAAAUCCGCUGGUUUCGAUGAAAACCGACAGUGAUAGGACGACUGUGAUAGUCUCUUCUCUAGUAGUAGUAUAUUAGUACCGGCUGCCGGAUGGUGUUGCCGACGAGUACUUCUCCAGGGGCGAUUCAGUACUGAUGUUAGCAAAGCUUGUUCUCUAUGAAUUUGGGGAUGGAAAGCUAGUUCUCUAGUUGUGAUUUGUUACAUAUAUCUCUAUGAUAGUCUAGAAAUUGCAUGUCCUUCGUUGACAUAGUUGAAGCUGCUUCAAGAAUUUACUUCGUGCAGUCGUGCAGCAUAUUGGAUUAUCACCUAGACAGGAUACAUAGGUGAAGCAUUGCAUGUGAUUGUGGCUGAUAAUUAUGCAGGACGCUGUUGCAAUCAACCAUCAAGAAGACUGGAGCGAUGGGGUUGCCUCAUCAACAAUUUUUAUAUAUGGCUGCAGUAUUAUUAAGCCCACGUCAAUAAUUUUUUCUCCGCAGCAUAUAUAUGGUUACUCAGUUCGCUGGAGUAUCGCUGUGGAAAAACAUACGUACUGCGCCUCGGAACUAACUGGCAUUCAGGCCAUCAACGACCAGAUAUUUGGGACAACCAACAAAUAGUAGGUGGUUCCUAAGUUGUAGUCGUAUGUACUAAUGCGCCUCGAUGGGGUUUUCUUCAGAUAUUUUAUUGCCGUUCAAUGAACAAGCAGAUACAUAACCUGUGCAGAAAAUUCCAUCUCCACGCAUGCCACUGCACCAACAAGAUCCUCAGUCGACGAUGAUGGCUCAGCCUGUUCCUUCUGCCACCAAAUCCUCAAUCUUCCCUCCAGCAACGGAGAAUGCACCUUUAGUACCUUCAGUAUCAGAUGUUGCAAUCGGUACCGUGAAACCGAGACUAAAAUCCUUACUUUGCAGGGGGCAAAACAAUCUUGCAAAUAUAUAUUUUGAAUUCCAACAAAAUUUAAGAAAUGUUAAAGAUGACUAGCUGAGAGUCAACAGACAAGAUAUGAUAUUAGGAAUGUGGGAGGAUGAAUGCAUUUGUACAGGGGUCAUACUAUUUCCAGACUCUUCUAUAUUUCCAUAUGACUACCUACUUCAAUGUCACGCGAGCCAUUCAAAAAGAUACAUGGUACACUUGUAUGUCUAAUCCAUUAUUGAUUAUUUCCUCUUGUCAUCUCUUACAAGUAUUUCUCCAUACUAUAGAAACGUGCAACACAUUUUUAGGAUAUGGACACGCAUGAUUAAUAUGCUUGGACUAGUAUACAGGUCAUCUUUGGAUGAGUACAUAUGAAUGCCAGGGAGGGACUGAUGGAUAUAAGGAAAAGGGACCAUGCAUAAAUAAUGACAUAUGUAACAUGGCAAUCUUCAUUGCCAUGCAACUCCUAUCAACAAUCAUGGAAUACAUACUACUGCUCCAGAAGGGUGGUGUGCAAAUUUAUUUUACCUCGCGGUGAAAAUCUCCAGAGCAGGCCUGAAGUUAAAAUAAGAGGCAGUCACUAUCGAUCAUGACAGUCUCGAAACUGUACAGCACUAUGCUAGUCCUAGUCCUCAUGUCGUUCGUGCUGUCGUGUAGCAUGAUGGAUUAUUAACUGGGCAGGACACGGAGAUGGCUAGCGAUGACAGAGGAUGACGUACAUGAUAUUCACCUCUGAAAUGAAGCGUAGGCUAAUGAAGCACAAUUGCAUGUGAGUGUGGCAGAUAUUUAUACAGGACAGUGAUUGCAAUAAUCGACCAUCGAGAUCGAAGACAGGGGCGAUGGGGUUGCCUCAUCAAUAAUUCGCGCAACCAGACAAGCUGCAGACUCAAUAUGGUACGAAGCUAUUUGGUCAGCCCACAUGCUCUGAUAUAACAUUGGCAUCUGCUGAUCUACAGUAUAUAUGACCAGAAAUAUUGUGCCACCUCAAUAAUUUUCCGAAGUAUCGUUGGGGAAGCACCUACAUACUAUGCCUCGGAACUAACUGACAUGUUGGCCUAGGCGGUCCAGGCCGAUUGGACAGGCUCUUCCUUAUGGCUCCUCACGUCCCCUUCGUUUCCGAGUAAUCUCAGGUGUUCUGAAGUUUUCUUUUCACUUGCAUGUGGACCUUAUAUAUCAAUAGCUUCGGGAUAAGAAUGCCUCUUGAUAACCUUCCAAAUCGUCGCUUGAUUCACUUUGAUUCCAAAAUCAUCUUGCCAUAUCUUUUGAGACUUAGGCCCUAAGGCAUCAUGGAGGAUUGCUCGCCAAGAAUGAGCACCAUUGGGCUCCUGAGGACCCUAGGCCGAUCAGCCUGGGCUCUAUAGGUUGAUUGGCCCAGGCCCUCUCUGGGCCCAUUGGCCUUCAUCUUUCUCUGAGUCGACGCUUAUUGAGGGCUUUGUCCAAUUAUAGUCCAUUAUAGUCUAAUUUCCAAAAAAAUAGAAUAUCCUCCAAAAUACAAUACAUUUGUGAAAACAGCCCAAUUAUUAGGUAUGAUCAAUAGUCUAGGUAUUAAAUUAAUGUUAUUAUUUAAGAUAAAUAGGGAUAAAGGGUGUCAUUAAUAACGAGCACCAACCAGCGUACCAGCUGUUAACACUAACCGAUGCUAAUAUGUACCCUUUAGUACCGGCUAUUUCACCCGGUACUAAACGAGACAAGAGCACCCUAACAGAGGUUAAUACCAUCCAUUUCAUGAGUAAAAUACUAUGAUUCAAAAAUAAUUCAAAUCCCUUAAGACAAUACCUAUCAAAUGAGUAGAUUGUAAAUAGAGUAAAACAAUGUCCUAAUGAAACGGAACACUUCUGGUUCGUGUAGAGCACAAUAUAGAAAACAGUAGGGUAGCUGUACGAUUGACACGUGGUCCAUUAAUUAUUGAGCCAUCACUAUGGACAUGUCUUCAUGAGUAGUGUACUAGUCAUGACACAUGGUAUGUAGUAGGUGGAGGUAUUGAGUUAGCCAUGCCAUGAGCACUUAGUUACAACAAACACUUUGCCAUUAUCGAGCAUCCCAAAUCACUACAAAAUCCAUAGUUUACCAUAUACUACAAAAUCUGAGUUAAAAUAAGAGCAUACACGGAAGAGUCCGAAUGCACCGGUUUAGGACCAGGCACAUUGAAUUACUAGAAAAAGUUAUCGGACAAGGUUUUGGGUAACCGCAUGAAAAAUGUUGGAUUUUACUGAACACUUAGUUACAAUUACCAUGCCGUGAGCACUUAGUCACCACAAACAUUUAACCACUUUAGAUCAUCCUGAAUCCCUAUAAAUUCUGUACCUUACACCGUACCAUGAAAACGACAAGAACAGAGACAGAUGCAGUGAAAAUCUCCAGAGCAGGCCUGAAAUUAAAAUAAGAGGAGGCAGUCUCUAUCGAUCAGGACACGGAGAUUGCUAGCCAUGACAGAGGAAGACAUGAUAUGAUAUUCACCUCUGAAAUGCAGCGUAGACUAAUGAAGCACAAUUGCAUGUGAGUGUGGCAGAUAAUGGACCAUCGAGACCAUCGAAUGGUAUGAAGCAUGAUUAUCACCUAGACAUGAUAUCCUAGACAGGACGGUGAAUUGUAAAAAGAGUAAUCUUGAUCAAAGAAUGUCCUAAUGAAACGGAACAUUUUUGGUACGUGUAGAGCACAAUAUAGAAAACAGUAGAGUAGUUGUACGAUUGAAACUGCAUCCAUCCACGUGGUCCAUGAAUUGUUGAGCCAACACUGUGGACAUGUCUUCAUGAACACCAUCUAGUGAGGACAGGAUGCAGAAAAAUAUAAAAACAUGUCAUAGGGAGGCAGACCAAUCUUGCAAGGAGGUAAACGAAACGUGAUACACGAUCUGCCUACCUUGUCGUGGAUACCCCAAGAGAAGAUGUCAUAGAGGUGCAGACCAAGCUAGCAAGGAGGUAGAUGAAACGUGAUACACGGCCUGCCUACCUUGCCGUGGAUAUUAGCCCUGAUAUCAUUCUAUUGUUCAAGGAAUAACACUCAAUGCUGCUGCUGCUGCUGACCUGGCUCCAUAAAGUUGUAUUCCUCUAGCCGCUUGCACUAACUUUAUCUGAAGUAUUAUUCUCUCUGCCCUGAUAUCUGAAGUAUUAUUCUCUCUGCUGACUUUGCUGAAGAACCUACAUAAUAUGUCUUGGAACUAACUGACAUUGAUUCACAGACAAACUCUACAAGGUGCUGUUGUUGCCAUAUUUUAGAGCAUCCCAAAGGACUAUAAAUAAUAUAGUUUACCAUAUACCGUAUACCAUUAUAUGUUAGCUAAAAUAAGAGCAUAACAUGUCGCAGGAGUCCAAAAGCACCGGUUGAGGACCAGGUACAUUGAAUUACUAGAAAAAGACAGGGGGCAAUGUUUAGGUAGCCACAUGAAAAACAUUUGAAUUUACUGUUCCAUGAACACUUAGUUACCAUGCCGGGAGCACCUAGUUAACACUAAAAUUUAGCCACUUUAGAUCAUCCCGAAACACCCUCAAUAGCGACAAAUUUUGAUUUAAAUGCCGUCACCAAUGAUCCUCAAUAGCGACGUGUUUAGGUUUAAAUCCCGUCACUAAUAACCCUUGGUAGUGACGUGUUUUGGUUUAAAUCUCAUCCCACUGAUCCUCAAUAGUGACGUGUUUUUAGCAACACACGCUAUGAAUGACUUGUCAUUGGUGACAUGUUAAAUGCGUUAUCUCAAUGGCAAAUCAUUGGUGACGUGUUUUAAAAAAACAUGUCACUGUGAGAGUUAUUGGUGAAGGGUAAUUAAAAUGCAUCACUAAUUUUGUAGCAUUAGUUAUGAUAUAAUUUAGUAACGCAAAAAUCUACCAUCAGUAAUGAGGUUUAGAGCCGUCGCUAAUGUGGGUUUCUUACGAGUGAUGCAAGCUCUACAAGGUGCUGUUGUUGCCAUUUUAAAGCAUCCCAAGUGACUACAAGUUAAUAGCAUAGUUUACCAUAUACCAUAAAAAUAUUAGUUACAAUAAGCACAUCCGCAUGUGGAAGAGUCCGAAUGCACCAGUUGAGGACUAAACACAUUGAAUUACUAGAACCAAAUGUAAGACAAAGAAAGGGGUCAAGGUUUGGGUAACCGCAUUAAAAACAUUGGAUUUUACUGUACCAUGAACACUUAGUUACCAUUACCAUACCUUGAGCAUCUAGUUACCACAAACAAUAAUUUAGCCACUUUAGAGGUUCCAGAAUCACUAUAAAUAAUAUACCAACACCGUACCAUGAAAACAUCAAGAAGAGAGACGGGUACAUGGACCACCAUCAAGUGAGUAGUGACAGCACGCACAAGAAUACCCGGAACCUGUUAGCUUGUCUGUAGUGAUCUGUUUUCUUCCCCAUAAAAUCCAUGAGUAUUGCCACAAAUAAUGAAAGAGGCUGACCAAGCUAACAAGGAGGUAGAGAAAACGUGAUACACGUAGGUUUCAUUCAAGACAUCCAUGUAAGAUUCAUUCAAAACAUUCAUGGAAAUUUCUUGUAAGUUUUCAUGUAAAUUUCAUUCAAGACAUUUGUUAGAGGUGUUGUAUAUAUAUACCUUAACGUACAUAUAUCUAUGAUUUCAUGGUUGUUAGUGAUGGCAGAUGAGGAGCAUGCAAGGUAUUUAAUGGAGCAGAUUAUUGCUAGUGGUAGUGGCUCCAACCUGCCCGUAACGUACACCAACGAAGAGAGCAGCCAGGCGGACAUGUUCCUCAACAUAUCCGGUGAUGGCAAUGAAGAGCCCGAGCAAAACCUUGCCGUGACGGAAGGUUCCAGUGAGGUAUAUAUCAUUUCCAUUGUUUUACCCCAUCUAUAAUUUCAUAUUCAUUAUUACUAUGUACUAAUUAAUGGAUCUUGAACCAUUAGCCCUCUAGAUCAACGAACCGAAAUAAGCCCCGAGGUCUUACAAAGAUAAUGCAGGGAAGGCAUCACAUCACGGAAGUCACAGAAGAGGGCACAUCAGUUGCUCCCGAACAUGUGGCAAGAAAGUACGUGAGUCAAACCGGGCAAUGUGCCCAUCAGCAUUAGGGAAUGAAAGGGCAAUAGAAAUGAUCUAUACACGCCCCCGGAUACACAAAAGGAUAUGCUGUGGGCAAAUAUCAAGAAACACUUCACAUUUCCCAAAGGAUAUGUUGAAAAAGAUGUGAAAGCGUGGAUGCUGAAGAAGAUGGUCACCGAAUUCCAGACAUUCAAGAAGAUGUUGGAUGUCAACUUCAUCAAGAAGGGUCGAACUCCGGGUUUCGAUGAGUGGCCAAAGUUAAGGGACCACUGGGAGUCAUUUGUCAAAUACAAGACGAGUGAAGGUGGUGCGAGUAAGGUUCGCAUCAAUGUUGCCAAUGCUAGCAAGGAGUACCAUCAUCAUCUAGGGCGACGUGGUUACAGCACUGCAAUUCCCAGAUGGCGCAAGAUGGAACAAGACCUGAUCGAUCGGGGUAUCGUACCAGCAACUCCUGACUGGCCUGAUCGAUUGAAAAAUUGGUAUUAUGCUCAUGAAGGCAAUCUGAGCCAACAGGAUGCGACAUUGGUCUUCAAUAAAACAAUACGUCAGAAGGCCGGAAGGCUUAUUAGGAACAUUGAAAAUGCUAAAUCUGGGAGGUUCAAGGUGGAUAGAGAGAAUGAUGAGCUCACAUUGGCCCUUGGGACUAUCAUCUCUAGCAUUUCCAGCUCCAGGACUGUCGUCACCACCGGGACCGUCGCUUCUUGCUCGAUCACAGUCUCCAUCUCCAGCACAUCCUGGUGGUGCGAACGAUGACGACAACAACACCCCUCCCUGCCCACCAUCGCCGGGACUAAGACCCGCAUCGAGUAAGGAACCUGCAGCACCACUGAAGAAGUCGCGACCACCGCCUUCCAAGCCAAGUCAGCAAAAGAAGAAAGCAGAGAAGCCUAAGCCCACUGAGAAGCCAACAACCGAUAUGACCGAUGCGGAAAGAUGGAAGGCACUCAAAGAAGAAUGCAGGGAGUGGUUCUGUAAAAAGAACCAAAGAAAGAAAAGGAAAGCAGAUGGAGCCACCGCCAGUAGAUCCAAGAAAAUUAUAAUUUUUUAUUAAGAUGUCAAAAGGAGCCAAGAAGAUGAUUCCACAACUAUCAAACUACGACCGGGCGUUAGUCAAGGCUGAUGAGAGUUAAAAAAGGAAAGGAAAGUCAUCUUCAAGUGGUACUGUCCCCCACCUCGAGGAUCUACCAGAAAAAGACGCUAAAAAGAUAGUAGCAAUGCUCUUGGAUCAACAAACACAUAUAUCAUGAGAUUCAUGCAAGAAACAGGUAUGUGCCUUGCUGAAUGUCUAGGGCAAGUUGAUAUGCUAGCUCUAGAGCCAUUUGUACCGAAAUGGACCUUUGAGCUAGGCAAGCCUCUAGUAAGGCCUGAGCUGGUACAGAAGCUAUCCACAUAGCUAUAUGAAUACCAUGAAUGGUACAUGAAGCAGUCUGCCAAUGAGAGGAAAAUGUUCGGUCUCAGGGAAAAACUGAUAUUUUUUUUCGGCGAAGGCGAGAAAGUCUUGUGAUGGAAUUCAAGGAUAUAUAUGAAGUGUACCAUCAGGAUGCCCUUGAUGUCUCUCUCAUCAGCGCCUAGGUUAUGUAAGUGUAUGUUUAUCUAUACGUAAUUUUUGUCUCAUAUCAUUAUUUCUUUUGCGUGCGUCACCCUACUAACUUCGUCUUCCAUUUUAUGUAGGAUGCUAAUUCAGAUGUGCCGCAUAGAAGCGCACUUCCAUGUUGGCUUCAUGGAUCCAUCCCUAGUUAACCAAAAGCAGAUACGGAAGUAGCUAGAGAAAAUGUUGGAGGUGGUAUACAACUUCCUGGACAAACAAAACUAUAGAAUAGGGGCAAUAUGUGAAGGUCUUGUAGGAUUCCUAGUGGACAAGGUGAUAAAUCCAUAAGGAGAAUAUCAUUACAACGGACGAGCAUUAGACACACUGAGCAACACCUAGACGGGAGGAUCCUAGGAAUGACCUAGACAGAUUUUGGUAUAAAUAGUAAUUGUGUAAAUACUAGUUUGAUUUGUAUAGGAAUAUACUAAGAAUUGUAUAUAUAGUAAUUGUACAAAUACUAGUUUGAUUUGUAUAAAUACUAGAUUGAUUUUAUUAUAAAAAAGUUUUAAGUCGUACGUGCAUGCGCCUACAAAGGCGCGUAUGCCCUUUAAUCCCGGUUGGAAAAACAAACCGGUACUAAAGGGGCUCGUGCCGCACCUGGCAUGACCGCCCCUUUAGUCCCGGUUGAACGACCCAGGACCAAAGAUCUGCCCCGUCUCAUAAAUUUUAUCCUGGAUGCUUUUUAGAGAGAUUUGAGGCCUAUCAACCAAGACUAAUAUCGAGUUUUCUACCAGUGGAACUAACUAACGUUCACAUGCUUCUGACAUUCACCUGCCAUUUGGUGUAGACAAGGGCACCCUAACAUAUGGUUAAUAUUAUUCAUGAAAGAAAAUCCUUUGAUUCAAAAAUACUUCAAACCUAAUAAUACAAUACUUCUCACAUCUGAAAAAUAUGAGAUGGCCCGACAGUAUUCUAACCGACGCAAUAAUAUUUUGAGGGCAGCACUACUACAGCGACCCUCAUUCGUGCCGGUGCUGGAACCCCUAUCACGACCCUGAUACAAAUGAGGGUACAUUAUUGUUGCCAGUGCUAGAAUAGCCACGAAUAACUUGCUAAACAUGCUGUUACACUCACUACUAGAAAAAUAACCUCUCGUCCUGAGGCUUAGUACCGGUCACUUUUUUGCCCAGUACUAAUGUUAGUAUUAGUACCGGAUCCAAAUUUGGGAUCCCCCAGAGACCCUUUAGUACCAGGUGGAGUCUCCACCCGAUACUAAAGGCUUUGUUACCGGGUGAAGGAUCCUCCCGGUACUAAUGGGGGAUUUUUAGUACCGGGUGGGAACCCCACCCGAAACUAAAAUCUCCCAUGCGGACCCCUCCCCCCCCCACGCGUUGCCUCUGUCCUCCCUCCUCCUCCUCUGAGUAGUUAUCCCUUCCUCAUCCCUCCUCCUCCUCCCACACGUGGGGUGAGGUGAGGUGGCAGUAGCAACGACAGGUGGUGUGGCGGGUCACGGCGGGCCGGAUGCGGAGCCGCAACGGUGGUCGGCGGGAUGGGGUGGGGCAGAGCGGCAUGGCAGGGCGGAGCGGUGGGACGGGGCCGAGGUGGAGGUGCCGGGCGGAGGUGGAGUGGCAGGACAGAGGCGGAGGCGGAGCGGCGGGUCGGCGAGCGGGUGGAGGGUGGCGACGAUGGGGCGGGCAGAGGCAGAGGGGUGGGUGGAGGGGCGGCGUGGUCCACCGGCGGGGGGGGGGGGGGGAGAGGGAGGCGUGGGGGGUGCGGUUGGUGAUUUCAAUUUUCUUUUAAUUUUUUAACACCCUUCAGUACCAGUUAUUUUAACCGGGUCUAAAGGGAUCCCCUCUUGUACCGAAUUGCUAGUACAGGAUGCACAACCGGUACUAGAGGGAGGUUCCCAACCGGUACUAGAGCCACUUUCCCCGGUAGUGACUUUUUCACCGAUUAGAAUAUGUUAUUAUUCUAAUCAGCUUUUGUUGAUCUCCUGUAUAAUUUAGUACCUAAUUCUACUAGCAAUUGUUAACGCCGACACGUAUUGGGUAUAGUCCUAACAGUGUCUAACUAGGGCACUACAUUUGUUAACCUAUAACUACUGGUAUCGAUUAGCCCUGGUUAGAAUACUGUCAAGGCAGCCAGAAAAAAUUGUUUGCCAAUUCUGCUAUCCAUCAGAACCAUGACUAGUACCGUAUUGUAAUAAACGAAUUACACAAAUAACUGAUGCACACAAAGGAAUAUGCACUCGCAUGUGCUAGACGUUCGUAGCAACAACAAAUUACUCUCAUCAUCAAUUAAACAUAAUAGAUUAAACAUUAACUGAACAUAGUUCAACACGUACAUCAACAAGACAAAGCAGUUUAAACAUCAACUGAACAGAACUGAAAACAUACAUCAACUGAUGAUAAACUUCGACAUGAACACAACACAUAAACAUCAACUUCAAUAGAACUUAAUAGAGCAUAUUAAACAACAACAUCGACAAAACAUAUAAACCCAGCUCAGUAGCUCAAGCAUCAACUAAAACUGCUGAAUUAAAAUAACAUAACAUAGUGUAGUUCAUCAUGAUGAUAACUAACAGAACCGAAAAGCCUAACUGGGUAAAAGAGCAAUUCAUUCAUAAUGCUUCAGCACUUACAUCACCGGAGUAUGCAACUGGCGGCGUCGCUUACGUCACUAUCACCGCGCUUGGCGAGUAAAGGAGGAGGAGGUGGCAUAGUAAUCGAAGAGGAGGCCGCUGUCGGCGGGUUUAGACUACGUGGAGGUGUGGGUAGGGUUAAGGUGGCUCUGUGGACGAGUAUAUAUAAGAGGUCUGGGCUUGUUAGAAUAAGAUAACAUUCUAACUGGCCAAAUUCGGAUCCGGUUAGAAUAAAUUGUUCUAACCAGCCUUAAUUCGAGGUGGUAAGGAUAAGUUAACAUUCUAAUCAGCUCUAUUUGGAGCCCGAUUGAAUGUUCUUGUUAUUCAAAAAAAGAUCAAGUUCAUCAAUUUUUUUCUAGAAAAACAUCAAGAUAAUUUAAACACGAUAUAUAACAAGAUUAAUACAUUUAAAAAUUGUUUUCUCCAAUAAUUAACGAUAUUUAACAAAUUCAAAAAAAAUCCAAAUUAACAGAACAUAAUAACCAAUUGUUCGAAAAAAUCAAAAUAGUCCACACAGUAUCAUAUUACAAAUUCAGAAAAAUAUCAAAAUAAUCCCUGAUCCACUCGAUACCGUCGUAGAACUUUGAAAUACUGAGCUUCUUGAUUCAUCUGAGGUCCACGUACUCGUCUCAGUAACACUAGUGGUGGCCAUGCAUCUUGUAGAUGUCUUCUAAUGAAUUAAGCUUGACAUACAAGGUCGUGCCUUCCACUCCUUGAGGAUUGCUUAUGACGUUUCUGCAAAUAACGAAGCAUUGCUUUCUCCAACAUGAUUAUUUUCUUCGGCUUAUCCCAAGGGACAACUAUGGUUUUCCCCUUGCCGGAAGAGGAACGAUGAUCGCCCCCACCAUCGCCACUUCCUCCAGUAGCAGAAGCCAUCUAUGUACAAAAAUUCAUACCUUAGCACUACAGAACUUGUUGAACUUGAAGACUGUGAUCAUUAGGCGAGCAUGUUCUCAACUAGGUGGCACCGCACUUCGUCAUGGAAGAGCUUCGAUUUUACAAAAAAGGGGACAUGAUCUUCCAUGAUGUCCGUAUCCGCUCUUUCUCGUAGAAUCAGAGCUCCUCCUUGAUAUACGAUGCUGCUCGGCGGAGAACAUGCUCACCGAGAUGAACACGGUAUGCAAGUUCAACAAGUAUGGAUUUGAAAAACCAUAUUGAAUUUGACAAGACAAACUAUCUAGAUAAGCGUAGCAUCAUUCUUAAACCACUGCAAGGAUACGUACUAUAUAUGACACAUCAAUCUCCCUCACAUUCUAGCUCAAAAUACCUCUCCAUUUUCUACUUCACAUUCUAGCAAAUAAACUAUCUAUCUCCAUUCUACACAUCAAGUUGUUUUAACUAAUACAAAUCGUAUAUAACAAGCAAAAUAUCCAUCACAUUCUAGCUCAAAAACAUGUAUAAAUACAAAUCCUCUUCAUUCUCCCUUUUUCUAACAAACAAACUCAUUUUUCUCCCUCUCCAAAGCAUAAAUUAAAGCGUAACAUGAGGAUGAGGUAGCAAACCUUCACAACACAUUGGAUGAGUGAAAUUCCCACGAAAAUGAGGGAAAAAAAUUCGGGCAGCACCUCCCUUGCUUCGGCACCUCUAGAGAGUAGGUGAAGCUCAGUUCUCUAUUUUUGUGGUGGACUAGCUUGGGCUGGAGGAGGAAGAAAGGCCUCUGUCUUGGUAUAUAAUGGGGGAUGAGUUUUUAUCCCAGUUAAAAGCUCCAACUGAGACAAAACGGCCAAUCUUUUGUCCCGGUUGGAGCCUCCAACCGGGACAAAAGGGGCACGCCAUCGACGCACGGGAGCUAGCCGUUACAACCGGGACUAAAGGGGGGCCUUUAGUCCCGGUUGCAAAUACCAACUGGGAUUAAAUCUCCCCUCCAUUUUUGCCUACCGUGGUGCGCCCCCUUUUAUCCCGGGUCAACUUUAAACCGGGACAAAAGGGGGCGUCGAAGAUCAGUUCUCUACUAGUGACCCCUCCCCACCUAUCUCUCUCCCUCCAUGCUCCUCGAUCUGUGCCUCCCCUCCCCUCCCCUUCCACUCGCCCCUCACCGACGGUAAGGAGCAGCGGCGGGGCGAGGUGAGGUGGCAGCAGCAAUGGCAGGUGGUGGGUCGCAGCGGAGCGGCUACGGUAGGCAGCCGGACGGGGCAGAGCGGCGGGGCGGGGUGGAGGCGGAGGUGGCGGGUAGAGGCGGAGCGGCGAGGCGGAGGCGGAGGUGGAGGCGGAGUGGUGGGACGGCAGGGCCGGGCGACUAGUAUAGGUGGGCGGGCGGAGGGCGGCGACGGCGGAGCGGGCGGAGGCAGAGGGGCAGCGGGGGCCGCCGGCGGGGGGUGUGAUCGGGGAUUUCAAUUUUUUUUAAAUUUUUUAACACCUUUUAGUCCAACUGGUUCUAAAGGGACCCCUCUAGUAUCAAAAUUGCUAGUACCGGUUGCACAACCGGUACCAGAAGUGGUUCCUAACUGGUACUAGAGCCACUUUCCCUGGUAGAGACUUUUUUACCAGUUAGAAUAUGUUAUUAUUUUAAUCAGCUUUCGCUGAUCGCCAGUAUGAUUUAGUACCUAAUUUUACUGGCGAUUGUUACCGCUGACACGGAUUGGGUAUAGUCCUAACAGUGUAUAACUACGGCACUACAUUUGUUAACCUAUAACUACUUGUAUCGAUUAGCCCUGGUUAGAAUACUGUCAAGGCAGCCAGAAUUUUUUUUUUUUGCCAAUUCUGCUAUCCAUGAGAUCCAUGACUAGUACCGCAAUGUAAUGAAUGAACUGCACAAAUAACUGAUGCACACAAAAGAAUAUGCACUUGCACGCUAGACGUUCGUAACAACAAAUUACUCUCAUCACCAAUUGAACAUAAUAGAUUAAACAUUAACUGAACAGAAUUCAACACGUACAUCAACACGACAAAGCAGUUUAAACAUCAACUGAACUGAACUGAACACAUACAUCAACUGAUGAUAAUUAUCGACAUCAACAGAACACAUGAACAUCAACAUCAAUAGAACUUAAUAGAGCAUAUUAAACAACAACAUCGACAAAACAUAUAAACCCAGCUUAGUAGCUCAGGCAUCAACUAAAAUUGCUGAAUUAAAACAACACAACGUAGUGUAGUUCAUAAUGCUUCGGCGCUUACACCACUGGCGGGUCGCUUACGUCGGCAUCACCGCGCUGGCUGAACCUCCGACACCCCCACCACGGCAAACGGAGGUGAUGGCGGAAGGUGAGGCAACGACAGUAGCUGGUGAGCUCCCGCUCCAAUGUCUCGCGAGUAAAGGAGGAGGAGGUGGCAUGGGAAUCGAAGAGGACACUAGUAGAGAAACGACUUUCCAUCCACCCCCUUUUGUCCCGGUUUAAAGUUGGCCCGGGACAAAAGGUUCACCAACCGGGAUUAAAACUCGGUCACUGGUGGGGGGCUCACCAACCGGGACCUUUUAUCCCGGUUGCAAAGGCUAGUGGGAAAAAAUUACUCUGAGAGGCCUUUUAUCCCGGUUUGAAACACCAACCGGGAUAAAAGACCCCCCCUUUUAUCCCGGUUGGUAACACCAACCGAGAUAAAAGGGUCAAGAGCCUUUUAUCCCGGUUGGAAACACCAACCGGGAUAAAAGGGGGUCUUUUAUCCCGGUUGGUGUUUCCAACCGGGAUAAAAGGGUCCCCCACGAGUUAAUACAAAAGGAUAGUAUCCCCUACAUAGUCAGAUGUGGUGUGUAGGUGGGAUGGUAAGGAAGCUACGCGCGAGGCUGGAGGUUGUGGGUUCGAAUCCCACGAACCGCGCACGCGCAUAUUUCGCGUGAAAAAUCGCGUGACUUGCGACUUGCGCGUGUGGGGGGGCCUCCUGGGAGCUCGGGAAUUUUUUUUUUUUGCAGCGCCGGCCGUGGGUGAACCCUUUUAUCCCGGUUGGUAUUACCAACCGGGAUAAAAGGGGGUCUUUUGUCCCGGUUGAGUGACCCGGGAUAAAAGACCCCCCCUUUUGUCCCGGUUGGUUUAUCCCGGAUGCAUUUUCGAGAUCUUUGCACCCUACCAACCGGGAUAAUAGGUGAGUUCUCCACCAGUGGGAGGCCGCCGCUGGCGGGUUUAGACUACGUGGAUGUGUGGGUAGGGUUAAGGUGACGGUGUGGACUAGUAUAUAUAAGAUGUCUGGGCUUGUUAGAAUAAGAUAACAUUCUAACCGGCCAAAUUCGGACCCGGUUAGAUUAAAUUGAUAUUCUAACCGGUCCUAUUUCUAGGUGGUAAGAAUAAGUUAACAUUGUAAUUGGCUUUAUUUGGAACCCGAUUGAAUCUUCUUGUUAUUCAAAAAAACAUCAAGUUCAUCAAUUUUAAUCCAGGAAAACAUCAAGAUAAUUUAAGCACGAUAUAUAACAAGAUUAAUACAUUUAAAAAUUGUUUGAUUCACAAAUUAACGAUAUUUAACAAAUUCAAAAAAUCCAAAUUAACAGAACACAAUAACCAAUUGUUCGAAAAAAUCAAAAUAAUCCACACACAUUAAUAUAUUACAAAUUCAGAAAUAUAUCAAAAUAAUCCCCGAUCCACUCGAUACCGUCAUAGGACUUUUAAAUACUGAGCUUCUUGAUUCGUCUGAGGUCCACCUACUCGUCUCAGUAACACUAGUGAUGGCCAUGCAUCUUGUAGAUGUCUUCUAACGAAUCAAGCUUGACGUACAAGGUCAUGCCUUCCGCUCCUUGAGGAUAACCAUCUUUGGUGAUCUUGAAAUGGCAGACGGUGGAUGUGCCAAAGGUACGUGACGAUCCUUCUAAAUGUAUGCCACCACAACUUCCGUCUGAUCGCCAUGGGUGACACCAAGAAGAGCUACCAUGCGGCAAGGGACGAACAAUUUAUCAAUUAGUGCCGCUGUCCAUCGCCAUCAUCUAAUCCAGCCAUAUCUUGUUGUAUAUUUAAGUAUAGAAAUUAAGAUUUAAAAAUAAACAGAAUAAAUUGAGAUCGAUUAUGUAUGUAUAUCAGAACAUUAGCUUUUGGAAAAAGGGCUUCGAUGGAAGAGAGGCACGGGGCAUAGAGACAACAACGAGUGACAAUAUGUCAGAAGAAUACCCGAUCACAAUUAUUGGCACACACAGCCGAUAUUUACAGUAGUCAAUACCCCUGGUAAAUAACCACACCAUCAAGAGUAAAUAGUGACAAUAUGCAGUAUAUACACGACAUAGCCUUGGCUGCCGUGGAAGCACCAGAAGGGAGACAAAUAACAGGGACCACUACAUCAAGUAGAUAGUGACAAUAUGCAAAAGAAUACCCGCGCCUGUUAGCAUGUGUGAACUGACCACACCACGAAACGUGAUACACGGCAAGCGUACCAAGGCCUUGCUGUGCAGACUAUGCAUGGACAACACAUGGUACCUGACCGCUUUUGGCCUCAGACACAUCAAAAACUGCAUCGUUCCACGUUGUACAUCCAUUGCUAGUUUAUCUAUAUUACAUAAUAUAUUAUUAGCUAUUUGAAUAGAAUGAACCAAUUAAAAAAUUACGUUGUAUUUUAGUACCGGCUGCAGGAUGGUGUUACCAACCAGUACUAAUUGGCCUGUAGGAGUGAUGGUUAUUAGACUUGGUACUGUUGUUAGCAUCAUUAACCUAAUUGUGCGCCGUAUGAAUUUGGGGAUGCAAAGCUAGCUCUCUAUGAAUGUGAGGGAUGGAAAGCUAGUUCUCUAGUAGUAAUUAUAUAUAUGACAGUCAGGAAAUCGAACACUAUGCUGCUACGAGUCACCAUCAUUUCCUUCAUUGACAAUCUGACAUAGGUGAAGCUGCUUCAAUAAUUUCCUUCGCGCAGUCGUGGAGCUUAUUGGAUUAUCACCAGGACGGGACACGGAAAUGGCCAGCAAUGAAGCUGAUUGCCGUCUGAGGAAGACUACAUACUUACCUAUGAAAUGAAGCGAUUGCAUAGACUAAUGAAGCAUUGCAUAUUUGCAUGUGAGUGUGGCAGAUAAUUCUGCAGGACAUGAUUGCAAUCCACGCACCAUCGAGAAGACUGGGGCGAUGGGGUUGCCUCAUCAAUAAUCACGUGGAUGCAUGCAUGCAUGUUCCCUCAACCGGACAAGGGUCUGAUAUAUGGCUAUAGUAUUACUGAGCCCACAUCAAUAAUUUCCGCUGGUGUAUCGUGUGGGAAGAAUCAACAUACUACACCUCUGAGUUCUUGGAACUAACUGACGUUCACAUGCAACCUCCACAAGGUGCUGUAUGCUUUUGACAUUCACCUGCCAGUUCGUGUAGAGGACACCCUAACGUAUGGUUAAUAUUAUCCAUUUCAUGAGUAAAAUACUGUGAUUCAAAAAUACUUCAAAUCCCUUGAGACAAUACUUCUCACUUGACUAACCACUAACCAACCCCGAAACCCUAACUCAACUCCGAACCCUAACCCCUAACGGCAUAACCACUCCGUUUUGCCGGCGAGAUGGAGGAACUGGCUGGAAGGUAGAGAGGGCAGCGGUCCAGGGUUGAAAACGACGGGCGAGCGCAGUAACAUGUGGAGGAGGAAGUGCCACGUAUUCGUUCACCGCUAUUGGGCAGCGACACACGACACGCCCAAUAAGAUCUUCGCACGGUAGAAGGACGUCAUGUAUUCAAUAAUGUUAUUGGUCCCCCAUGUGCAGAAGGGCGCGCGCGUAUGGAAUAACAAGUAGGGACACUGCAACUAAUCUACUCUGCUCGUCCAGUCCCUAGCCUAUAAAUAGAUGCCAUGCUAGCUCUUGUUGUGCUCACAAUUAAUCCGAUUACACACGAGCUUCUCUCCCUGGCCAAGACACAACCAUAGUAUGAUGAAGAACAUGGCACUAGCCGGCAAUGGUAUGAAGAAGUUAAUCCUCGCUGUUCUCUUACUGUGUCUAGUUAUAGGGCAGAUACAAGUGGAAGCUAAGAGCUGCUGCCCAUCCACCACUGCAAGAAAUGUCUACAAUACCUGCCGUUUCACGGGUACAUCCCGUCCAACGUGUGCAAAACUGUCAGGCUGCAAAAUUAUCAGCGGGAACAAAUGCAAGCCCCCUAACGACCACCUCACCCUUGACCCGGACACUGGUAAAUAAUAAAUUUAUCUCACUUGAUUUCUUCGUGAUUUGAGUCGUUAAUGUAUUUUCCAUCUGAUGAAACGUAUUGGUUUUGCAUUGAAGAGGAAGUUAAUGUGCUUAACUUCUGCAAGUUGGGGUGUGCGUCGUCUGUGUGCAACAACAUCAACGCUGGUAAGCAACUUUUGCUCAGACAGAGAAAACAAUAAUCAUUAAUUAGCGGCAGCUAGAAUCCUAUAAUCUAAUAUAUAUAUAUAUAUAUAAUUUUAUCAGCUCUGGGAAAUGAAGAGGCGAACGAUGCCGUUGAGAGUUGCGACCAAGCCUGCUCUAGCUUCUGCAGCGUGCAUGUUGGCAGCGCCACCGUGGUUGCUUAAGCAAAUGCAUCCAACUAGAUCGUCCUUGUGCUGAAUAAUUGGAUAUCGUAUCCACUUAAAGCUGCCUUGUGUAGUACGUCUUUGUGUCUCUCUUUAUAUUCCAAUAAGGUCGGUGAUCUUGAUGCCACACACUCAGAUGUGUGUUCAUCUCCAGAUACUACUCCAUGCUACCUGCCCUUUGUGUUUUGUUCAAUAACUGGGUAUCAUAUCCCAGCCAGUAUGCCGUCUGUUUUGUGUUUGUUUCCUUCUAGUUCCAAAGGGGUCAUCAUGAUGUUACCUUCUUUCAAUAUGGUGCUUUGCAUGACUACUGUUGUAUGGUACCAUCUUGUGGCCAAUAAGUACAUCUUAUCCUAUGACCUUUGCUAUGACCCUUUGCAAAUAAGUAGAAGAUUGUUAUAAGCGUCAAUACUCCGUAUAAAUUGAUCGCUGCUGUGAGUUCCCUUUCAGCUUAUCGUAGGCAUACAUUAUUGCUAGCACGGUAAAGCCAACCAACACGAAUGAUGAAGUAAACGUAGCGGUACUUCUGUAUACCAACACCCUUACUUAAAUGUACCGGUGUCAUUCCCUACUGGCACAUAUAUUCUUAUAUGCUAGCCAGCUUGUAAAAUUAACCAAUUAAAAUAAUUAUUUCAAGAUAGAAAUAACUUAUCGGUUUCUGGAAGCAUGUGUAAUGUGAAUUCAAGGACUCGACGGAAGUUGAAUCACUUCAUCUAUAUUGCUUUCAGUAUUUUGGGUAACUAAAUUUAACAUUUGCACAUACAAAUGUUAAAGUACAAAUGUUAAAUCUAGUUACCCAAGCAGAAUAUGAAGAUAGUUUAUAGUAUAUAUAUACUAUAUAAAUCUAGUUAACAUUUAGUCUAAAUGUUAAAUCUAGUUACCUAAAAUCCUGAAAGCAAAAUGUAUAAAUAUAUAUCUUUUAAGGCAGUAUAAGCUUCGAUUCCUAUUGCUGCUCUGUUAAAUCUCAUCUUUCGUUGUGGCCCAACACUCUAGUAUGCAUGUUGCACCAAGCUUCUUUGAGCCGCUCUGCCCUCUGAUUUUGCUGCGUAGGGGAAUCUUUAUCAGGUUGGGCUACUUCCAGUUGUGCGAUGUAAAGAUUCGUAUUUUCUAGAAGGUAGACAAAAAACUCGCGUUCUCUUAAGGCAACAACCGGAAGAUUCUGCAGCGCACAGGGCAUACCAUUAUUGUAGAAACGACCUUUAGUACCGAUCUCCAACCCCCUUUAAAACUGGUUUUGCAACCGGUACCGUUAUGUCGGUCCUUUAGUACCAGAUCAAAUAAGUACCGGUUGGUAACCAGUAUCAACUUGUUUUGCGGCCAAAAAAAUAAAGAAAAAAACAGUCAG